AUUUAAGUUUUGUCUGAAGUCAAUGUACCUCUACUUUGACCAAACUUAUAGAAAAAUGUAUCAACAUUCACAAUGUCAAAUCAAUAUUUUUAUACUCAUUAUAAAAUGUAGUUCUUAUACUCAUUAUAAUCAGUAUUGUAGAUAUUGAUAAUUUUAGUAUAAAUUUGGUCAAACACUUUGCAAACGGUUGACGGAAGUAAAAAGGACCAGAGGGAGUAUCAUGCAUGCGGAGUAGGCAAAACAAAUUGCUCAUUUAUAGCUGGUCGAAGUCUCAAAGGGCGCGAUCGCGCGAGGGAGGCGAAGGUCGUGGGAGGUGCGACGGUUGACGGAAUUAAGUGAAGUUACCCACGCGCCGGCAUGGCGUGCGAACAGGCAGAAGCUAUACCAUCAGGCCUACGAUAUGGGUCUAGUAGACAUGACAUCUAGUGGGUCCCGCAUAGUUCUCGAGAACUCUUUGGGGGCUUGCAGCCGUUUAUCCAUCGGGCAAGCCAGCAACCCCACGCCGUUCGCACGCCCUACUCGUCCCCGUCUUCUACUAGUACAGUACCUUACAACAGUUCGCUCCCAGUCGUCCCGUCCUUUCACAUUACACCAGUUCAACUUCUCCUAACCCUCCUCCAAAAUCCAUGGCCUCCCAAAUCUCCAUGGUCACCGCUGAGUACCAGGUUAGAGCCAUCACCGGCGAUGAGUUCAUCGUCAUCUACACACGUGGAUCCGCGACGGUGAAAGCAUGCCUUGCUCGCUUCCUAUGCAUGUUCAACAGUUCAACGGAUGAGUGGGUCGCUGGGCUAGAUGUUGAGCACACCACCGUCCUACAAAGAGAGAAGAUUCUAAAGGAGGCAGAGAAGAAGAAUCCCGUCGUGAUCCAGGUUUGCGUACAUAACGUGUGCUUGGUCUACCACAUAUGCCAUGCCGACGUUGAGUGCCAGGAUUUUAAGAACAUCCUCAAGGACGAAAGAGUGAAAUUUGUUACUGUAGACUUUAGGAACGACAGGGAUGUCCUGGGUCGGAUAGGCCUCGUUGUAGGCCAGCCCUUCGAUCUCCAUAAGGCAAGCCUGGUGUCCUCCUCUCAGCCUUCAAUGCUGACCCUGGCAGCAGCCAUGAUUGAUCCUUCGUACGCUAAACUAAAGAAACCUCACCACGAGUUUCAUCAUGCAUGGGAGUCGAAGACAUUAGAUGAAGAUCACAUCCUAUACGCAGCAAUGGAUGCCUACCUUUGUUUAAAUAUCUACAAGGGUUGGAUGAAGAAGCAGAGCCCAGUGUCCGGUUCAAGCAAAGAAGUGUCGGCGAUGAGGAAGAGGAAGAGGGACGAGGAUGAAGUCGAGGACGUGGACUCGGACUCCGAGUAGGUGGUAGUGCCGUCGCUCAUGCUGGUUCUACUCCAGUGUCAAGCGGACUAGUUGCUUAGUUUAUUUUCAAGGGUGUGUUGUGCUGAGGCCCCAGCAGAACUAUGUUUAUGUUCUUUCUCGUUAUUUGAACUCUUUAGUACGUACAGUAGUACUAGUACUAUGUCUUACUACUAUUCUUCUUGCAGUUGGUACUACUGCUCGUAUCUUGGUGUUCCUACUGUACUUAAUACGUUUGUACUAGUAGUAUAAUUUGGGUCAGUCGAUUUGUGAAAGAAGUUCGACGGAGCGAAGGAAGAAGACGGCAGAGAAGCUACCCCAGUAUCUAUAUUAGGGUGGCAGGGUGCCCAUGAUCUAUCUUAUGAGUGUUGGGUGUGGCAUGCAGUUCGCCGGAAAAAAAUGGAUCGUGCCCGGGGUUAAACGGAUGGCAGGGGUGGGGGAGCAUGGUGGUGGCAGGCGGUUCAGGGGAGGGCGCGGCGGCGGCGGCAGGCGGUUAAGCGUGUGGCGGGCUGAGAAGAUGAACCGUGCAUCAAUUUCGAAGGUUGAAGAAGCCCUUCUAGACAUCCAUGUUGCAUCAAACGGCUCACAAGAGUCGACUGACCCAAAUUGCUCCUUCAGAUUGCAGGAUCCACGUGGCAUUCAAGGUCUUGAAGGUAGAUUCCGCGUCCGCACCCGGUUUGCGGGCUCGACGCGCGCGCGACCGGCUUCCGCCGCGACAGCCACCAUGCGCACCUCCUCCGCACGGGCGAAGACGACAAUGACAAGCUAGUUCCUCCUCGCCGGCAUGCUGGAGCACGCGCUCGUCCUCCUCUUCGUACGCUGCGUGCAUAGACGCGGCUCCACCAGCUGCUCGCGUGCUUGGCAGCGUGGCGGCAUCGCGAGAAGGGACUGCAACCGACGUGAGCGGGCGAGCCUUCGGCUUCAUGGCACAGGGAUGGCAGCGACACGGCGGUGAUGGGCGAGAAAUUGUUGGCCGGAGCAGGCGGGCGCCGGCAUGCGCAACGGCGGUGGUGGCAUAUUGAUGAGUGCGCGUAUGGGAUCUUAGUUUAGUUUUAUAUAGGGUUGGUCAAACUUAAAAGAAAACCGUACUAGUACACGUAAACAUUAGACUUAGGCAGCACUUUUAUUAGUUACCACAACCAUGAUACGGAAUCCUGUGCAAGCGCAUGAACCGCGGCCGCACGGUCGAUCGAACGGUGCGUCACCGUGUCGCGCUCGAAGGACAUCCACCGAACCUUUUUGUGUGUGUGAAAACAAUCCCCGAAUAUUACUCAACUUUUUUCCUGGAAAAGUUCUUGAUGCUACAAUAUUUCCAUAUAUUUGAAUUUAGCUCCGGUUCGUGUUUAUUUGGAUUUGGACGUUUUAGGUGCGCCCUAGUUUUUUUAAUACUGAUUUUGUGUGUGUGACUGAGAGAGAAUGUGUGUAUGUGUCCAUAUGUGUGUUGUGGCGGAAGGGCAAUGUGGAGACGGUGUGCGUGUGAUAGAGACAUAGAGAGGUGUGAAUGUGCAAAUGAUCAUGCAUGAGUGAGACAUAGACAGAUGCCGAUACGUUGUGUAUACAUGAGAGAAGGGUCUUCUAUUUUACUUGUGUGUGUGUGUGAGAGAGAGAGAGGAGCAUCCGUAACACAACAACCAUCUCUCUCGAUUCGUCCGUCCCUCGCAUGAUCGCAUGUAACACAUGCAUCAACGCGCACAUUUUGACACCCUCACCCGGCCCCUGCCCACCUCAAGGCCCGCACAUCGCUCUCUAUCUCGCACACACAAUCUCUUCGUGAAUACCCUGUUUAGCAUGUAGCUUUCCAUCACAUACACACACAUUUCUCUCCUUAGGUUUGUUUUCUCUCAAUAUCUGACACACACACACACACACACAACACACACAACACACAACACACCCCCUCCCCCGAGCACACAAUUCAUCCCAUCCAAGGUUAUAUGGCGACCACUCUCGCUUGUGCUUCCCUGCACCGUACCCCAGCAUGCACAACACCUCAAUCUUCAAAGAGGGCAUCGAGGAGAUCGAAGACGGCGACCACACUGCGCUAGAGAAUGCGGGGCCAUUUGGAAGUAGGAUGAUGUGACGACGGCUGACUGACUCCUCCCCCCACCCUCUCUCUAUCGCACAAAAUUACCAAUCCCUCUCUCCCCCGCACAAAAUUAUCAAUCCCUCAACCCACAAGAUCCUUCCCCUCUCGUCCAUGUUUUUCCAGCUCUCUCAUCAAACCUGUUGUCUCUUCUCCUUCCACAUGUACAGAAUCCGGAUGCACACGCAUCUCACGUAUAUUACAUGUCUCCAUCUUUCUCACAGACCUAACUUCUUCCUCUCUCUUCCUCUCUCUUUCUCUCUCUAUCUCUCUCUUUGUUUCGUUAGGUUUGUCUCCUACUCUCUCGUCCACAUACACACAAUCUUUCCCGCCCUAUCUGCUCCAUCUUCACAAGCUCUCUCUGCACGUUUCAUUCACACAUUGGGAUAUGUUCAAAAUGUUGCUUUUAUAAUGGCUGAUGUAGAGUUAUUGUUGGUUUUAUUGCAUCCUACAAAGUAAUAACUAUGAAAUGCAUUUUGAUUGUCAUUUAACUGGGAUUAUGUGAGUUUGAGCAUGUUGUGAAGUACUAUAGACCUUGUAUACAUCUUGGAAUUCGAGAAUGAUUGUAACUAUUGAAUUGUAUAGACCAUUACAUUCGAAGUCAGUAGCCUAAUAUAUUUAUUUCACAAUUUCAACAAAUGAUUAAUUCACUACAUACUAAGAAAACAAAUGUGUACUCCCUCUGUUUUUAUUUAAGUCCACGUAUUAGCAUUGGUCAAAGUCAAGUUUUGUAAACUCUCAGAAAGUUUAUAACAAAAAAUAUUAACUAUACAAUAACAAAUAAAUACCAUUAGAUUCAUUAUUGAAUGUACUUUCACAUCAUACAUAUUUGUUAUGGUAAAUGUUUAUAUUUUUCUAUAAAGUUGGUCAAAAUUUAGGAAGUUUGACUUCGGUCAAACCUAAUAUGCAGAGUUUACUAAUACUACUCGCUAGUUGCUUAGCCGAAUCACCCAACACGCCACACGGGGAGUUCAGUGUCACAAAAUUUUGAGGUCGGCGGGAAAAUCUCCCGCGACCCUGAUUCGAGCACUUGGAAGUUACCAUCAUAGCCUUCGGAAUAGGCCUACGGAUGAUGGUUGGUAGAGGGCUGUUUUCGUAACUUCAGGUUCACCCUACCCAGCCAACCCCACCCCGGCACCCAGAGUAGUACACCUGAAUACUCCCCAUUUUCUAUCCCCACCGCAAAAUAGACUUCUCCACGGCACCGCAGCCUUCGUGCUCCUCCCCUUCUACAUAGGCGCACUUGUCCACCGCAGCGCAUCUGCCUCAUCGACGACCUCGUACGCUGCAUUAGAGCCGGUCCACCGUCGUCGUCGUACACGGAGCCUCUUCCCCGGUACCGUCUUCCACGGUCUCGGAUCUGCUUCCCGGAAGCCGACGCCAAGCGCAGAAGCACCACCUUCGUGGACAAUGAACUGACUCCCGUUGCCGACCAUGACUCACAGAGGCCGCUGCGACCAUCGUUCUCCUCCUCGAUUGGUAAUGUUUGUAUUGAAUCACUUAGCAGUACAUGUGCAGUUCCAAUUUUGUUCAUACCUAUCCUUCAAAUUUCCUGGGUGCUAUUGUUCCCGUAAAAGUAAUUGGUUAUAGCCUCCAUUGUCCAACAGAAUAUCAGCUUGUAAUUGUGCAUCGCUCUUGUAUUGCGCUGUGCUUGGGUAGGUUUUUCAUCUGCAACCAGUAGUGUGGCAAAUGAUGGAAAGUUUUUUAGAACUAGCAAGAUGCCCAUGCGUUGCACGCAUCAAGAUGCACUUGUAUGAGUAGUUUAUCUUGUGGGAGAAAAGGAUGAAUGAGGAAAGGCCUUAUUUGCAAAUCUGGAGAGGGGUGUGGGUAUCUUUUUGCAAAAUUGCCAUUGUUUUCUUCCUAUCUGUAAGGUAUAAAUCGGACGGCCUAUAUUGUAGGAUGGCAGGCACACCAUCAUCACCAACUCUGUUUUUUAUAAGAAAUAAAGUAGAGAAAAAAUUAGAGAGUAGAGAAGUAGAGAUAAAUAUUAAAUCUAAAAUAAAUAUAACAGUAGAGAAGAGAGUAGAGAUAGCAGAGACGUCGGGAAAGGAUUGCGCGCGUGGGGGGAAAAGCGGCCGGGCGUGCGCUAGUUUUGGCGCGCGGCGUCCAGCGCGCUUUAUAAAAUCCAACGCCCUCCCACCGCUCUGUGCCUUGCCACCGCUCUCUCCCCGCUCUGUGCCUCGCCGCUGCUCUCUCCCCGCUCUUUCUUGCCUCGCCGCCGCCGCGCCACCAUGCUGUCGCGCCGCCGGGAAACUUGGGGAUACCGCGGCGUCCGCGCGCACCCCUCUGGCGGCUUCUCCGCCGAGAUCCGGUUCCGCGUGAUGCGCCUCGGCCUCAGCAAUUUCGACACCGCCAACGAGGCCGCCCGGGCGUACGACGCGGCGGCGUGGCACCUCCGGUGGCCUCAUAGAACAUUGAACUUCCCCAACGUGCCGACACGGGAGCAGGCACAGGAGCUCGCGCCUCUGCCGCGGCUUAUCACCGACGAGGAUCGUCGCGACAACCGGAGGCGGGAGCACCGUCUCGGCAUCGCUGAGAUGGAUGAGGAAGCCAUGGUGCUGUGGCGCCAAUGCUUCCCGUAGGACAUCAUCAACGAGCGCAAGUUCUAUGCGCAAAGGAGGGCGGAGCAAGCCGCCUAUCGCGAGGACAAGCGUAGGCAAAAAGCGGACACUCAAUUCAACAUGAGACUAGGAGCAACGUCGCCCUGGGAAUCCGACGAUGAUCAGUAUCUUCACGCCUACAGUCAGACGUCGGAGGAGGACAUCACUGAGGAGGAGUCGGACGACGAGGAGUAGUUGAAUAAUCUAUUUUUAUCUAUCUAUGCUGAGAACUAUCCUCUACUCUCUAGUCUCUACUCUCUAUCUCUACUUCUUGAUCUCAGCACUGUAAAUGCUUUUUUAAAGUGCCGCGCAUUGUGAUUCUGUUGGGGAUGCUCUAACGUGGCAGACGAGUGCUUUAAUGUUGCCCACAAGAUGCGCGAGUAUUACUAGUAGUAUAUUUUUCUUGCCGUGUUGAGAUUUUAAAACCACGAGUGCGAACAUGCAGAGGAGCAAUGAAGACCAAACACGGGAUAUUGGGGACAUCUUCAAGGAGCGUGGCAAGUUAAAGAGGAGCUGCACCGAACCUGUAAAACGAGCUUUGGUAAGUAACACCCUUUCAAUUACUUUCGUUUAGCCUCGUGUUCUUUGAUGUGUAUAUGUUGUAGUUUCUGUUUCUCUUAAGCCUCGUGUUCUUCGAUGUGUAAUAAGAAGAGUCUUAAUCGUCCUAAUGCUUUCAUGUUUAGCUUGAUGUAGGAAGUGGGUGUUCUCACCUUGUAGUCUGUUUUAUAUUUUUUCCUUUUGAAUUCACUUCUCCCAGUUUUGUUUAUCUGGCUUCUACUAAAUGGAUCUGGGUUGCUCUGAGUAUUGAUCUAAAAAAGAAGUAACUUCAUGUCAGGAUGCAGUUCCUGCGAGGAGGGAAGUAUGGUCAACCUCGAGAUCAUGUUUCCAAAAUGAGGCUGGAUUGCACACAAGGUGCCAGUUCCCUAAUGAUGCUAGAUUAGACACAAGGUGCAAAUUCCCAGAUGAUGCUGGAUUACACACAAGCCAGGUGGAGUCGUCAGUUGUUCGUGUCCUCGUGGCUCUAGUAAAGGCUGAAAGAAAGCAUGCAGCAGCCCUUGAGAAUGUAGCUGAGUUCCUGAAGAAGCGAAAAGAGCAAUCAGAUGCUCUCUUCACCCAUGCCAAAGAAGAGAUGGAAGAAGCCAGAAAUAAGCUAGCAGAGGCAGAGUAGGCUAGGCGUCUCCUGCUAUCUAAAACUGUUGUCAAUACAAAAUUUCCUUCAUAAUAGCUAGGUUCAAAUGUUUAUCCAGUCAGCAUGCCUGUUGUGAUGUCCGUGCAUCUACUGAUGUGGCACAAAAUAUAUAUUUUUUGGGUCAUGUAAUAACAGCAAUUACUUUCCAAACAAUAACAGACGAAGCAUUGGACAUGGUAUAGUUCACGUGCAAGCCCGACAUUCCAAGUUCAACCUCCACAUCAAACUCAUGUUCACAGAUAUCUGCACAUUCAUACAUAAUGUCCACAACCAUGAUUCACUUCAAAGCCAAAAAAAUUGAGGAGAGUUAUAAAUAAACAAAAACCUCUAGUUCCUGCUACCAGUGCGAGCACAACAAGUCAAGACCAUGCGUAAUUAAUUAUACUUUGGUCAUUUUUUGUGUUCUAAAAUGCCGGUUGGCUCGCGGAAGGACAUCUUGCCGGCACACGCGUGGAUUCAAUGAAGGCGGGCGGGGCAGUCUGAAGCUGGUUGCAUGCGGCGAGGAGGCGUGUUCAGCCGGGCUUGCAGCGAGUGGGGCCCUCUUGGCCGGCGCACCGGUUCAAUGCCUGCGCUAUGAGAGGUCGCGUCCGUGUCAGAGCAAUCACUCCCUCCAGUCCUUUUUUGUUUGGGUAUAACAAAAUCUCAUUUUCCAUUCACAUUUUACAAGUAAAAUUCACGGACAACCUUUGACCCAAAAUACGAUGGGGACUAGUAAACCAGAACGGAGGUAGUAGUUUUUUUUUAAUCAAAGAAGGGUUCCCCCCUUCCGAUUUUCAUUACUGAAAACCAACAUCUAAAUCUAAACCAUAGUAUUUGCCCUAGAACUACCAGGUUCAACAUCUCGCAACAUAAAGCCAUACAACCAUACGCCAAGGAGGUACGUAGUACUAUGAAUUCCAUUUUCGCUCCAUACCAAUCGUUCUAAAAACUACUUAGUACUUAUAACGCGCCAUUGAAAAUCGGAACUCUUAACCCCGCUAAAAAAAUGAUAUUUUAAACGUGGCUACUCGUUCUGUGGCAACUGGCGAGCCACCACCUCCAAGUCGUUCACCUGUGGUCCCGACCAUCAACUCCUACGGAUCAAAUUAUCACGCGAGCUGACUAUUCCUACAAAGGUGCGCUCCAGCACGUGCCCGGUACCCGCGAAUGCAGCAAUCGUGCACCUAGGGUCUUAGGGUUUAUUUGUUAACGUUGCCUUUACGUAAGACUCAUGUGCGCGAGACAGCGAGAGACCGACUGCGUGCAUGCGCCUCUUCUCUUCGUAUAUGUACUCCACCAUUUGUCUGGUGUCCAAAAAAUUAUAAUAACUACUAGCAAUGUGCCAAUGCGUUGCCACAUGAUCAGAGUAGAUUAAUACAUAUUCACCGAUUUGAUAGAAAAAAGUCUAGUUUUGAAAUACGUAUAUCACUAAAAAUAUGUUAUGUUUCGCUCAAAAUAUAUUCCUUUGGAGGUUUUGAUGAGAUAAGGGAGGAAUGUUGUUGGCUUCAAGAUUCGAGAAGUGGUAUAUGUCUAAUUUCUACUCUUACUAGCAAGAUGCCCGUGCGUUGCAUGGAACAUCAAGAUCUUGUGGGAGAAAAGGAUGAACGAGGGAAGGCCUUAUCUGCAAAUGUGGAGAGGAGUGCGGGUAAAUUGCCAUAGUUUCCUUCCUAUCCGUCAGAUAUAAAUCGGACGGCCUAUAUUGCAGGAUGACAGGCCCACCAUCAUCACCAACUCUGUUUUUUAUCCCUACUCUUAUAAAAAGCAUAGUCGGUGAUGAUCGUGUGCCUGCCAUCCUGCAAUAUAGGUCGUCCGAUCUAUAUCUGACGGAUAGGAAGGAAACUAUGGCAAUUUUGCAAAAAGAUACCCACACCCCUCUCCACACUUGCAAAUAAGGCCUUCCCUUGUUCAUCAUUUUCUCCCACAAGAUAAACUACUCAUACAAAUGCAUCUUGAUGUUCCAUGCAAUGCAUGGGCAUCUUGCUAGUUGUUGCAAAAAGCCCAUGUUUGUGAGACAGAGAGGGAGAGAGGAGGAGGACGGAGUGCAUGUGCGACAAAGACAUAAAGAGUGUGUGUGCGAGAGGUAUCAGCUUAAAAUGAGGCGAUAGUGUGUGUGUGCACGAUCGAGAGGGCGUGUCUCAAGAAGGGAACAAAAAUCUACAUAGAUACAAGGAGCGGGAGAGAGACAUGUAUGCGAUAGUGGAAGCAUGAGUGUGCGGGUGUAUAAACCUAUCUAUAGGCUAGUCGAUAAAUGUUUGUGAGAGAAAUACGAGUCGGGGUGCGAAAGCAAGAGUUUUGUGAGAGAGAGAGAGAGACGGUAGUCGGGAAGGGGAGUGGAAGCAGGAGUUGUGUGUGUGUGAGAGAGAGAGGGGGGGAGUUUGUCUAAUCGGUAAACAAAUGAAUAAUGUCAGUCUGGGAUGGAGACGAAAAGGAGACCGCAAAAAAUGUUGUGUCUACAGGAGAGAGAGAGUAAUUUUAGUGGUAUGAGUCAUACCUAUAGACAUAUAGGGUGUGUGAGAGAAUCCCAUAGAGAGAAAGACAAAGUGAAAGACGAGUGGAGACUGUGUGUGUGGCGGUGAAAAAGAAAGCUUAGGUACCUAGUGAUACGAGAGAACGGUAGAGACGUGAGAGAUAAUGAAAACCGUGUAAUGUAUAAUGAUAGGGAGGGUGUGACACUUCUCAAGGGAGACGUCAAGAGACCAUGUUUGCGAGGAUAGGAGAAACAUGAAGUGAGCGUGCGGGUGAGCUGGAGAAAAGAGAGUGAUAGCUACAUGAAGGAGAAUGCAUGCGAGAGAGAUGGGCUUGAAAGGAGUGAACAUAAAAGGGAUCAAAUAUUUGAAUUCGAGAUGAUGAUACAUGUAAUCCAUACUCGAACCAAAAUUGAUCUAUCAAACAUGCAUACUCAUAUGAAUUCACGCGCAUCUAUGUUAUUUAAUAUGUAGAUAUUACUGAUCCAUAAAUUUUAGUAGAACAUAAUUUGGUUUAAUUUUUUGAAUUCAACCUUAUGAUUUUGAGAUCAUUGUAUUUGUAAAUCAUAUUAUACAUAUAAAGAAGCAGAAUUCUUUGCUGUGCUUUUGAAAGUAUAUAUAAAAAAAUGAUGUAUAUAGAAUUUUAUUCCAAUCGAAAAUGGAUCCCGACCGAAAAAAAACAGAAUACAAACGGGAUUCGAAUUGAGUUGGCACGGUAAACGUGCACUCUGCAAAAUUUGAACGAAGCGGGGGAAGUUGCAGUAACCGCCCGAAACCAAAAUCUGCGAGAUGGAAAUUACUAGUGCCUAUCCCUGCCACGCAAAGCGUAUCUGCUCGAUUUCUAUAGGUUUCGAUAGGGGUAGGUUUGUAAUUUCACUCAAACAUGACAUAACCGCCUCUCGCCCGGAUUCAUACACGGUGGGCACCAAAACACAGUGUGUCCUCGACCGAAAUCGAUUCCCUCCCCGAUUCACACACGGUGGGCGCCAAAAACAAACUCUCGUCGGCAAAUAUUCGGUGUAUGCGAGAUUACCGUCCUAUCCCCAACCGACUAAUAUUGCUGUGAUGUAGGAAAUUUGAAACGGGGGCUAAGUUUGUAAAUUUCCUCGCAUUUGAGACAAGCGCACCCUGAAGACAUGGUUCCCCCCUUCCUCUCUACCUCCAUUUCCCCAUUCGUACUCCGUGGGUGCCAAAACACCCUCUCCACCCCAGCCUCCUCCGUCCACCACCCCAUCCACCGCCGUCCUCCUCCACCAUGCCGGAGCUAAUACCCCGACGCCGCCGUCCAUUACAAGAGAACGACCUCUCUCAUCCACGGCUUCGGACCGGGAUCCUUGCAUCCCGUCCUCUCGCUUCAUCCCCGCCAUCGUCCACCUUGCCGGCGCCGCUCCUACGACCCUCUCGUCCACCGUGCCCCGGUGCCACCGUCUACCCUCCUAGAUCUGCUUCCACGCCGCCGACAGCCACCGCUACCGCAACACCGUCAAAUUCUCAGCAGAUGCAUACACGGUGCCGCACCAGAGGCGGUACUCUUUCGUAUCUGCUCAACUUAUUUAUCGCAGCAAGAAAAUAGAUUGCCACUGCUUUACUCUGAUUUCUUGUCCAUCACUUACUUGCUAGUUGAAAGCAAACAUUGGUUGCGAAGUUGCCUUUGUCCGGUUUGCAACUUCAGAUCCGCCAUGGCACGCUCAACACUAUACUCCCAAUGCUUAUGGUUUUCCCCUUUUAUAUUCCACACUAGUUAAAUCACAGUAGACUAAAUUUCAAAAUUGGGUCAGUCGAUUUUUCAGAGCUCGCCGGAGUUCGCCGGUGCGUACGAAGGGGCUCGGGUGGGGACGGUGUUUGUGGGGGCGGUGGUGGGGCCUCGCCCAACAAAGAAAACUCAACGCGGGUGGGGGCGAGGGUGGGGGUGGGGGUGGCGGACGAACACAGGCGGUGGGGGCCGGUGGUCCGGCUGGCGGCCCUAAUACGUCUCUGUCGUAUCUACUUUUCCAAACACUUUUGGCCUUGUUUUGGACUCUAAAUUUCAUGAUUUGAAUGGAACUAACCCGGACUGACGAUGUUUUCAGCAGAAUUGCCACGGUGUUAUUUUUGUGCAGAAAUAAAAGUUCUCGGAAUGACCUGAAACUUCACGGAGAAUAUUUUUGGAAAUAAUAAAAAAUACUGGCGAAAGAAUCAAGGCCAGGGGGCCCACACCCUGUCCACAAGGGUGGGGGCGCGCCUACCCCCCUGGGUGCGCCCCUGCCUCGUGGGCCCCCUGGUGCUCCACCGACCUCAACUCCAACUCUAUAUAUUCACGUUCGGGGAGAAAAAAACAGAGAGAAGGAUUCAUCGCGUUUUACGAUACGAAGCCGCCGCCAAGCCCUAAACUCUCUCGGGAGGGCUAAUUUGGAGUCCGUUCGGGGCUCCGGAGAGGGGAAUCCGUCGCCAUCGUCAUCAUCAACCUUCCUCCAUCACCAAUUUCAUGAUGCUCACCGCCGCGCGUGAGUAAUUCCAUUGUAGGCUUGCUGGACGGUGAUGGGUUGGAUGAGAUUUAUCAGGUAAUCGAGUUAGUUUUGUUAGGGUUUGAUCCCUAGUAUCCACUAUGUUCUGAGAUUGAUGUAUCUAACGCAAACUUUUGGAACUCAGAAAAAUCUACCAAAAUAGGACGACCUAGAUAAUUUGUUUAUUGAUCUACUACAAUUGGAAUCACUAUUUUAUCACGUUCUGGUGAUUUUAAACAAUUGUUUUCGUGAACAGAAAGUUUCUGGAAUUUUUAGCAAGAUCAAAUAACUAUCAUCCAAGAAGAUCCUAUAGGUUUCACUUGGCACAAACACUAAGCAAAAAAAUAAAAACACAUCUAACCAGAGGCUAGAUCAAAGAUUUAUUACUAAACAUAAAUAAAAAGCAAGAAAAUUAAAAUAAAAUUGGGUUGCCUCCCAACAAGCGCUAUCGUUUAACGCCCCUAGCUAGGCAUAAAAGCGAGGAUAGAUCUAGGUAUUGCCAUCUUUGGUAUUUAUCUUUUUAGUGGAGUUAUGCUCGAAUCCGGGAGGUUCCUUACGUUUCGCUUCAUACUCGGAGAUUCUUAUAUCCAGAGCAUCCAACCGUUUGUUGCAAAGUGUAAUCAAGGUAUUCAUGCGGUUAAGGUUUCCUCCAACAUUUUUACGAGGUUCAAGAGACUUUUGCAAUUCGCAUAGUUCUUCUAAGAUUUGGGUUCCCUCUUGAGUAAGAGUUGUUCCCUUUUGUGGGGGAAGUAUUCCUACUAUCCCCUCUAUAAUUUCAUAAGCAAAACUAGGAUCAGUUUCAAUAAAAUUCCCUUUGGCGGCAAAAUCAAGGAGUUGUCUAUGGGAUGCGGUUAGCCCAACAUAAAAAUUGCAAAGUAAAACCUUGAAAUCUCCCUCUAUAGUGCAACCACGAUAGGAUUCAAUCAUCCUAUACCAAGCAUCUUUUAGAUUUUCUCCUGUUUUGUUUGAAGUGAAGAACUUCGAACUCGGGAGACAAAGGAGUAGAUAAAGGAUUAGCCAUAACGACGAAGCAAGCGAAAAAGAGGCGGACGGAAAGAGAGGGCGAAUAAAAUGGCAAGGGUGAAGUGGGGGAGAGGGAAACGAGAGGCAAAUGGCAAAUAAUGUAAUGCGGGGGAUAAGAGUUUGUGAUGGGUACUUGGUAUGUCUUGACUUGUUCGUAGACUCCCCGGCAACGGCGCCAGAAAUCCUUCUAGCUACCUCUUAAGCACUGCGUUGGUUUUCCCUUGAAGAGGAAAGGGUGAUGCAGUAAAGUAGCGUAAGUACUUCCUUCAGUUUUUGAGAACCAAGGUAUCAAUCCAGUAGGAGACCACGCUCAAGUCCCACGCACCUACACAAACAAAUAAGAACCUUGCAACCAACGCGAUAAAGGGGUUGUCAAUCCCUUCACGGCCACUUGCAAAAGUGAGAUCUGAUAGAGAUGAUAAGAUAAUAUUUUUGGUAUUUUUAUGAUAAAGACUAAAAGUAAAGAAAGCAAAAUAAACGGUAAUAGAAAUAACUUGUUGACGGGAGAUUAAUAUGAUAGAGAAUAGACCCGGGGGCCAUAGGUUUCACUAGUGGCUUCUCUCAGGAGCAUAAGUAUUACGGUGGGUAAACAAAUUACUGUCGAGCAAUUGAUAGAAUUGAGCAUAGUUAUGAGAAUAUCUAGGUAUGGUCAUGUAUAUAGGCAUCACGUCCGUGAAUAGUAGACCGACUCCUGCCUGCAUAUACUACUAUUACUCCACACAUCGACCGCUAUCCAGCAUGCAUCUAGAGUAUUAAGUUCAUAAGAACAGAGUAACGCUUUAAUCAAGAUGACAUGAUGUAGAGGGAUAAACUCAUGCAAUAUGAUAUAAACCCCAUCUUUUUAUCCUCGAUGGCAACAAUACAAUACGUGUCGUUUCCCCUACUGUCACUGGGAUCGAGCACCGCAAGAUUGAACCCAAAGCUAAGCACUUCUCCCAUUGCAAGAAAGAUCAAUCUAGUAGGCCAAACCAAACUGAUAAUUCGAAGAGACUUGCAAAGAUAACCAAUCAUACAUAAAAUAAUUCAAAGGAGAUUCAAAUAUUGUUCAUAGAUAAUAUUGAUCAUAAACCCACAAUUCAUCGGAUCUCGACAAACACACCGCAAAAGAAGAUUACAUCGAAUAGAUCUCCAAGAGAAUCAAGGAGAACUUUGUAUUGAGAUCCAAAGAGAGAGAAAAGCCAUCUAGCUAAUAACUAUGGACCCGAAGGUCUGAGGUAAACUACUCACACAUCAUCGGAGAGGCUAUGGUGUUGAUGUAGAAGCCCUCCGUGAUCAAUGCCCCUCCGGCGGAGCGCCGGAAAAGGCCCCAAGAUGGGAUCUCACGGGUACAGAAGGUUGCGGCGGUGGAAAUAGGGUUUUGGCUCCUCCUCUGAUGUUUACGGGGUACGUAGGUAUAUAUAGGAGGAAGAAGUAGGUCGGUGGAGCUACGAGGGGCCCACGAGGGUGGAGGGCGCGCCCAGGGGGUAGGCGCGCCCCCUGCCUCGUGGCCUCCUUGUUGAUUGCUUGAUGUCCACUCCAAGUCCUCUGGAUCACGUUUGUUCAGAAAAUCACGUUCCCGAAGGUUUCAUUCCGUUUGGACUCCGUUUGAUAUUCCUUUCCUUCAAAACACUGAAAUAGGCAAAAAAACAGCAAUUUGGGCUGGGCCUCCGGUUAAUAGGUUAGUCCCAAAAAUAAUCUAAAAGUGUAUAAUAAAGCCCAUUGAACAUCCAAACAGAUAAUAUAAUAGCAUGGAACAAUCAAAAAUUAUAGAUACGUUGGAGACGUAUCACCAAGCCCUAAACUCUCUCGGGAGGGCUGAUCUGGAGUCCGUUCGGGGCUCCGGAGAGGGGAAUCCGUCGCCAUCAUCAUCAUCAACCUUCCUCCAUCACCAAUUUCAUGAUGCUCACUGCCACGCGUGAGUAAUUUCGUCGUAGGCUUGCUGGACGCUGAUGGGUUGGAUGAGAUUUAUCAUGUAAUCGAGUUAGUUUUGUUAGGGUUUGAUCCCUAGUAUCCACUAUGUUCUGAGAUUGAUGUUGCUAUGACUUUGCUAUGCUUAAUGCUUGUCACUAGGGCCCGAGUGCCAUGAUUUCAGAUCUGAACCUAUUAUGUUUUCAUGAAUAUAUGUGAGUUCUUGAUCCUAUCUUGCAAGUCUAUAGUCACCUACUAUGUGUUAUGAUCCGGCAACCUGAAGUGACAAUAAUCGGGACCACUCCCGGUGAUGACCGUAGUUUGAGGAGUUCAUGUAUUCAUUAAGUGUUAAUGCUUUGGUCUGGUAUUCUAUUAAAAGGAGGCCUUAAUACCCCUUAGUUUCCAUUAGGACCCCGCUGCCACGGGAGGGUAGGACAAAAGAUGUCAUGCAAGUUCUUUUCCAUAAGCACGUAUGACUAUAUUCGGAAUACAUGCCUACAUUACAUUGAUGAAUUGGAGCUAGUUCUGUGUCACACUAUGUUAUAACUGUUGCAUGAAUAAUCGCAUCCGACAUAAUUCUCCAUUACCGAUCCAAUGCCUACGAGCUUUUCACAUAUUGUUCUUUGCUUAGUUACUUUUCCGUUGCCACUGUUACAAUUACUACAAAACUGCUACUGUUACCUUUGCCACCGUUACCGUUACUUCCAUACUACUUUGCUGCAGAUAUUAAGUUAUCCAGGUGUGGUUGAAUUGACAACUCAACUGCUAAUACUUGAGAAUAUUCUUUGGCUCCCCUUGUGUCGAAUCAAUAAAUUUGGGUUGAAUACUCUACCCUCGAAAACUGUUGCCAUCCCCUAUACUUGUGGGUUAUCAGGCCCGUGCGGUGUUCUGUAUGGGAAGAAUCAGAGACGAGGAAGAAGAAGGGUUAGGAGACAUAGGACCUUCAUCCAACCGCCUGAAAUGGUUGACUGACCCAAAUGACAAAAGUCACGCGACUUGCAUGCAGGCAUGCCUUUAUAUUCAGUACCAUCAUCGUACCUGCUUAGCACUGCUCCUGAAUCCAGCAAGCUAAACAACGUGCCACUCAUAAUUCCAAACUUGUUGCUCAAGUAUCAAUCUGAUAUGAUGCUGAUAUUACUAAAACAGAUAACAUUUAAUUGGUCAGCUAAUGUUCCUACUUUACUUUUGAAAAGCACGUGCACCACAUAUAGAGAGACAGCAGGGAGUUGCUUUCUUAAUGCGCUCUGGUUCAUCAUGUGUGGGCACUGCGCAACGAACAUUUUAUUAUCCAAAAUCUGCUUGUUCUUCUUUAGCAUGUUCCUCUUCCGUUCUUCUUUAAUAAGUACUCUCUUCAUUCCUAAAUACAAGUCUUUGUAUAGAUUCCACCAUGGACUACAUAUGGAGCAAAAUGAGUGAAUCUACACUCUAAAAUGUAUCUGGAUACAUCUGGAUGUGAUCCAUAGUGGAAAUCUCUACCAAGACUUAUAUUUUGGAACGGAGGGAGUAUGAUAGUAGUACAUUAUGUUCCUUGUAGUGAAGAUGAGCAGGGACAUUUGCAGUGUAGAGGUCUAUACGGUCGGUUGUGAUGGACACUUUGAACUCUUCGGGCCUCUUUGAUUCGUAGGAUUUUGUAAACAUGGGAAUAGGAUUUGUAGUGGCCUGCCCACUUGAAUCCUAUAAGGAUAGCAAGGAAAUGCCGGGAGCUGUGUCGCCUUUGAGAGUUACACUGAUAUUAAUAGUACCGCACCUUCAGUUGAAGAGAGCUGGUAUCCGAAGCCUUUCUAGCCAUACCGGCAAUACUAGCACAUAUAUUCCAGCAAGUUCCACUUUGCUGAUUUUACUCUGAUGCUUACAGUUUUCCCGUUAUAUCUACACUAUGAUCUGUGUAGCUGCUUUGUGUGGCACUAGUAGCAGUCCACUCUUGAAGCUAAACACUGCAAUGACUUACAAAAUUGGCACCAAGGCAUUGAGUGCCAUUCUGGAUGCAAUGAAACUCAUACGCUCCCCACCUGUUGAUUCUUGUUUAGAAUAUGAUCCUAAUGACUAUUCUAACCUCGAGGAGUCAAAGGCAGAUGGCCUGUACUAUUCACCCAUCAAGGUGCCUGUUCUAAUUUGUCAAGGUUUUAUUGAUUGCGCGUAUCUUGUAUAUGUUGUCUUGCAUUUCUUCUACUUUGUUGCACCACCAUCUGCUUAGUUUACUCAUCAUAUAUGUCGAGAUGCCAUGCCCAUCCAUUAUCAAUACAUAUUCCAUCUGUCAUCAUACCAUGUUUUUCCACUCAAAUGUUGUUCUUGUGCAUCAGACAUCAAAAAGGAAGAGGGUGAUUGCCGAACCUGAAGGAGCACCAGCAAAGUCCUUGAAAAAUGUGGUUGUGCCGGAGAAAUCAGACAGCACCCCACUUAUAUUGGCUGUACAACCAGUGACACAAAACGUAGGACCGACUCCAGCAGAUUAUACCCAUACUUCACUGGCCACACCACUAGCCCCACCACACAGGACCUGCACUCCAGCAAAAGAUAUGCCAAUUUCGGUUGCCAUAGCACCAGCCGUACCACAGAAAAAUCCCACUCCAGCAAAAAGUACAGCAAGUCCACCGGCCGAAGACCUAUCCCAACUGCACAGACGGCCAAUUCCUGCAGAUUGGAACCCCAUUCCAGUUAUUCCCAGUUUAAAAGACAAUGCUUUCAAUGUUGCUAGGGACUACGUGCAUAUAUUCCCAUCAUGGGAAGAUUAUAGUGAAGACAAACACCAUUUUCACAUCUUCAUGUCCCACUUACGUGUAAGUGCUAUUAUUCAUGGUUAUUAUUUUCCUGUUUUCUGCUUAUUGAACACAUCAAUGAUUUACAUUACAUUGUUGUAAGUGGGCGAGGGUCAAUCUGGAUAGUCAUGACGAGCAAAGCUUGCUUGUGCUUUUCAAGGAAGCAUUGCAGCAGUAUCGGUGUUACCUGAGGAAAUCACACUUUGAUGGCAAGUCUAUAAACGAAUUUCCAGUGAAGUCUCAUGUGCUAAAUUUAGAAGACAUUAAAUGGAAAACCCUUGUAAUGCACUGGCCUCAUUCCCAGGAUGAGGUACUGUCUAUGAAAUCACAUGACAAUUUGAACUUCUACUUUUCCGCAUGUAAUCUGCUCGAAGAAGAAUUCUGGUUUGAAAAGAACGACAGGAUAUCGCAAAUAUGCUGCCCGCUGCUUUGCUCUUGUUAGUACCUGUUGUCCUGUAUCACUGUACUUGCAUACAUACCUGGUUCAUUAUGUGAUAGCAGUAUGCAUGAUAGCUUGCUUAUCAAUUGUUCGCUCCAACUGAUCUGUAUAAAUGGUUACAUUAGUGUAGAAUAUAUCCAAUGCCAAUGAAAUUUUUUAGCUCUGCAUUGUUCUUGUAAGUACUUGCUGUCCUUUAUCAGUGUACUUAUAUUGAUAGGUAGUUGUUCAUGUACCAUCACUCUGCAUCUUAUUUUCCUUUGCCCUCCAUUUUCUACACAUCAGAUCUAUAUUUACUCUUACCAUAAGGUUGGAUAACACCGAUGGUACUGAAGAAGUUUAGUUGUGCAUUGCUCUUGGCUGUACCUUUUGCCUGUAUCGCUAUACUUACAUUUAUAGCUACUUGGUUAUGUAGCAUCACUCUUCAUCUUAUCUUAAAUAUUCUCCAUUUUUUCUUAUAUUAUCACAUCUAUAUUUACNNNNNNNNNNNNNNNNNNNNNNNNNNNNNNNNNNNNNNNNNNNNNNNNNNNNNNNNNNNNNNNNNNNNNNNNNNNNNNNNNNNNNNNNNNNNNNNNNNNNNNNNNNNNNNNNNNNNNNNNNNNNNNNNNNNNNNNNNNNNNNNNNNNNNNNNNNNNNNNNNNNNNNNNNNNNNNNNNNNNNNNNNNNNNNNNNNNNNNNNNNNNNNNNNNNNNNNNNNNNNNNNNNNNNNNNNNNNNNNNNNNNNNNNNNNNNNNNNNNNNNNNNNNNNAUGGACAAGGGCUUUAUAGAGCCUGUCUUCACCAAUAAUGUAAUUUUGUCCUUCUCAAGCCUUCAAACUUUGUUGUGUAUAUUUGGUUAGGCAUGACUGCAACAGCUGUUUAUUUUUGGUGUUUGCAUCAAAUUGCAUGUUUAAAGUUUAUUAUGUAGUUCAUAAACAAAAGUUUGUCCUUCUCAAUUUAAGUUUUCAGUUGUACAACCAAGUUCCUUCUUCAUACCAUGUAAAUUAAACUAUACAGAGCAAUUGAUCUUCUUUUGGACUACAUGUAUGCUUCUGUUCUUGAUUCGUAAUCCAGUGGUGUGGUGAACCUACCCACUACAGCACAAUGUCAUAUUCUGCAAUGUCUUAACUAUGAACAAUGUCAUAUCAUUCUACUAUUAUUUAAACCGUCUCUUUAUUUGCCAAUCUGAAAUGGGAUAAAUUGACAGCACACUAACUAUUGAUACUUAUGAGUUCUUGAUCUGUAAUCCAGUGGUGUCGUGAAGCUGCCAACUCCUUCACAAUGUCAUUUCCUGCCAUGUCUUGACCUGAACAAUACCAUAUUGUGUUAAUGCAAUUUUAAACUGUGUCACUUUAUUCGUCAGUAAGAAAUGUGAUGAAUUGUCAGCACUGAUACUUUUAUGUGCAAAACCUGUCAUAUGUCUGCUUGUUUAUCUUUCAGAGUGAGGAGGAUAUAAGUGUUAAACAAGCACAGUCUCAUCAGCUUGCUCAGCUGCUUGCGCUGCAGCUCCCCAGCAGGGCUAACCUUUCUUGAACUCUAUUGAAGUGAUGUUGGUUUUCUAUAUUAUUUUGUCCGCGCGUUUAUUUGCACUGGUGGCGAUCUUUGAUGCCCAGUGUAUGUAAUCUGCUGUCUGCUUGUGCUUUAUUAUCAUAGUGCGAACUUUGAUGCCCAGUGGAUGUAAUAUGUCGUAAUUUCCUUAUUGUAUAGUCUAGGUUUUUUCUUAUUCACGAUGCUGCAGUUAUUUUACUGUAUAUAUAUCCUGUCUUUGCAGUAAACCAGCCAAACCGUAAAAUUACGGUACAUAUCGGGCCGUCGUGCAAUCACGAUGUAUGAUCCGCAUCAUGGGCCCCGUCAUCUUGGUCCGUUAAAAGGCCUAAAUGUAAACUGGCCCACUAGUAGAUUCGGGCCUUUAAUAGGCCGAGUAAACCGUCGACCCUCUUUUCGCAAGAAAACUCAAUGGGCUUUUAGGAGGCUGAGAAGUAGGUUGGGCUUGAAACGUGCCGAACAGCUCACGGGCUGGCAGCAGCCCGAAAUGGACCCCGGCCCAUGAUUGUGCCAAUCAAAUCACGGGCUUUUAACAGGCCAAAAUUGUCUCGGUCCUUAUUUGGCCCAAUCAGAUUAUCGGCUGCGAGCAGGCCGGAUGCAAACCGGGCCGUAGUUAGGCCCAACUAUAUGACGGGCUUUUAGGAGGCCGAAAUUAAUAUAGGGCCGAAAUGUUAAACGGGCCCUUAACAUGCCGAAACUAAUAUCAGUCUGAAUUACUAAAUGGGCCUUUAGCAAGUGGGCCCAAAAGCAUAGCGUCCAGUUGACGGGCCGAAUCUGAUAUGGGCCAUAAUUUAACUCAAAGCCUCUUAAAGGGCCGGACAUGAUCUGGGCCGUAAUUUGGCCCAGAACGUGGUAGGAUUUUAACGGGCCGGAUCUCAUAUGGGCUAUUAUUAGGCCCGGAACGUGGCAGGCCAUUAAUGGAUCAGAUCAAAUAUGGGCCGGCAUUUGGCCCAAAACAUGGCAGCCAGUUAAUGGGCCGGCCUACUGGGGUCCUCAAAAUCUUGUGGGCCUAUAGCUGGGCCGGCCCAUUAAUGUCGGUGAAAUCUCGUGGGCCUUUAGCUAGGCCGGCCCAUUAUGGUCCACAAAAAUCUUGUGGGCCUUCACCUGGGCCGGCCCAUUAUGGCCCGCAAAAAUCUUGUGGGCCUUUACCUGGGCCGGCCCAUUAUGGCCCGCAAAAUCUUGUGGCCCUUUAGCUGGGCCAGCCCAUUAUGGUCUCAAAAUCUCGUGGGCCUUUAGCUAGGCCGGCCCAUUAUGGUCCACAAAAUCUUGUGGGCCUUUGGUUGGGCCGGCCCAUUUAAACUUUAUGGGCCACUUUUUGGCCGGUCCACGUGUCAACAUAUCAUAGGCGCAUCUCGCCCAUUGGAUGAGUGACACCUGUGACAACGCGGAGCUGACACGUGUUUCCUCCAGCCAAUGAUGAUUUUACACGUGGAAAAUCCCCAUUGGUCCGGGCUGUUAACGGGUUAUCGGAUCCAAAACCGGACCCGAUAGCUUAACGGUGUUCCGUUACGGUGGAUGCCACGUGUCAGUCACCCUUGACGAAAGCACUUCUGUGACGCGCGAUUUAUCGUCAUGGAAGUGGACACUUCCGUGAUGAUAAUUUUAUUAAUGUCAUGGAACACUUCUACAACAGCACAGGUAUGACUAUCUUGAUUCUGUCAUAAAAUCAUCAUGGAUGUACAUGCAUGACAGAAAACGCGACCUACUCCGACAAACCCGUAUCAUCACGGAAGUGUAUUUUUUUGUAGUGAUGGAACGAUCCAUAACUAUGGGCAAUGGGAGUCCAUAUCAUCGCAGUUAGUGUGGCUCCCCACGAUGGAGACUCAAACUAUGGCCAGCCUCGACGCGGAGCAGUCGCGUGCACCGGGAAGCGGCGCUCUCUCGGCCGUCGCGCUACUUCAAAGCCGGCGCCAGUGAGAGGUCACCUCCGCUAUGGUCGGGCAUUAGUGCGGCACUGACAUUCCGGGGUGACGCUGACCGUUUCACGCGGGAAGCGCACGCCGGCUAGGGGGGGUUGGGUCGGCCAGGGCGGUCAGACGCGGCAGUGGUGGUGGUAUUGGUUUUGAACCGUUUCAGGUGUAGUACUGGUAGUUUGCAAAACUACUCAAUUAUUGCACUCAGUUUCCUAAGAAAUUGUGGUAAAAAACGUUACUCCACAGCCCGCUUCCCUUCUCCUUCCUCUUCCACCGCAUGCGCACGUCCGCGGGAAGAGACCGGUCAACCCUUAUAUAGGAGUGCUAGCACAAAAAGAUGCAUGCAUGACCACUAAAAUUUCCAGAUUAAAGCGCCGCUCCGGCAGGAUUAUGGCGUAUGUCGUUACCUUCGGCCGGGCCAUGGCUACCGGGCGACAGCGACCAGAGAAGAGGCGGCGGGAGGGGAAUGAAUGCAGCUACUGUUUGGGUUCGUCGUCCGGCUUAAAUAAAUGUGCACCAUCACGUGUAUCCGCGGGUGCACAAAUUGUAACAUCGUGUUUGCUUAAGUGGGCGUCACGUAACUGGUGUGUGUGAGAGAUUCUGAGAGAUAGAGUGCGUGUGUGCGACUCUACUCUUCGGACAUGUACUCAACCUUUUUCAUCGGGAUAUAAGUAUAAUUGUAUUACACUUUAGCUAGUGAUUUACGUGGCCAUGUUAACGUGGUUGUGUAAAAAAAUGUCACUUCCUGCUCGUGAUUUGAGUUAUACAAUCACUAGCAAGAUGCUCGUGCAUUGCACGGAACAUCAAUAUGCAUUUUUUUACAAAACACCUGUUGUGAUUGACCCAUGCAGGAGUAAUCCCGUGUGUAAAAACUAAUGAUAUCUCGAGAAUAUUAUCGGAAAACUGGUAUCUCGAGAAUUUCAACGAAAAAAUGAAAGAUGAGAGAUAAGGUGAGGAGGAGUGGAGCGUGGUGGUGACUGGUGGUCGGACUGGGCGGAGGCAUGGGGAUGGACUGCGCCGGCAGGCGGCAGCGGCCAGCAUGCUAGAUUGUUCCAGAGACUUCCUUUUUUAAUUGCUCAGCAAUGAGGUUGUGGGAGAUAAGGAUGAACGAGCCAAGGCCUUGUCUGUAAGAGCAUAAUUGGUUUGGUGCCAAAAAUAGGCAUGCCAAUGUUUGGCAUUGUGCCAAAUAUUCGCUACUACUUGGUUGGUUACCGAGUUGUCUUGCCUAUCUCACAUAAAGUUGCCAAUAUUUGGCAAGUCUUGGUAUUGCCAAUAUUUGGCAAUUCCAACAUUUGGCUAGUCAAAUAUUGGUAGCAAACCAAUCAUGCUCUAAAUGUGGAGAGAGGUGCGGGUAUCUUUUGUAAAAUUGUCAUAGUUUGCUUUCUAUCCGUCAGAUAAAGAUCGGACGGUCAAUAUUACAAGAUGGCAGGCACACCAUCACCGACUCUUUUUUUAUAAGAGUAGAGAUGAUAAGUUUGCUAACUACUAAAGUAAAGUGGAAUUUGUCCAUGUUAUACAAGUAAAUUAAGGUGAUUGUUUAUCAUACAGGUAAGGUUGGACGAAGGGUGGUAGGAACAAAUGCUCGGCCUAGAGCAUGUGUGUGUGAGAUGGAGUCUUAGUGUGUGUGGGGGGUGGGUGGGUGCGUGUGUGUGUGUGUGUGUGACGCGGGAUCCUCGGUGGCGGAUGUAAUUUAAAUGUGUGUGGCUUCAUCAUAGAGAGGUGGUGUGUAUGGCAGAGGCCACCAACGAGGGGGUGCGAGAGAGAAAAGGCCCGUAGAGAGGGAAGAGAAGGCAUGUGCGCGUGAGAGGAGUCGACAUCGAGAGAACGUGUUUUUUCGAGAGACACCGAGGGAGACAACUAUAUAUCGAUGGUGCAUGUAGGCGGGAAUUAAACAAAGGGAUGGUCUUAUUGGUUUCGGGGAUAUAGGGGAAGAGUGAGAGAGGGGGGGUAGCUAGAAGGUGAUUGUUAGGUGUGAGUGUGUGUUUUACCCAUCCAGGCGGAAGUUAUGUGCACACAAGAAGAGAACGAUUCGAUGUGGCAUUAGGGUUGAGGGUAAUUAACUACAUAUGGAGACAUAGGAGACCUUGAACCUGCAUGUGCGAGAGGUAUACAUGUAUACGUGGGAUGUGUGUGUGCACGCGCGCAUGAUCAAGAUAAAAGAAAGAAGACAUAAGUCAUAAGAUCAAUGACAUGGGAGAGACGGAUCGGUACGACAAUAUGCAUGCAUGUGAGAGUGCAGGGAAGAAGGCCCGAUAAUUGAGCAUGUGUUUUUGUCUUUAAGAGAUGGUGGCGUGGGCUAGAGCAUGCAUCUAUGGCGAGCAGAGGGAGCGAGACACAACGAUUGUGCAAAUGAGAUCAACCUAUAAAUGCAUGUAUGGAGAGACAUAUAUAGUGUGGGUGAUAGGAAGCAAGAGUGCGUGCGAGAAAGAAAUGUUGAUGGAGAAAGUACAGAUAGAUAUAGAGACAAAGAUGCUAGCUAGAGGGACAUCGGCUAGUUUGAGUGUUGGAGAUGACCGUCGGGUGGUUCAGAGGGUGAAGUUAUGUGUGUGAGAGAGAAAUAUAAAAAGAGGGUACUUGACUGCAUGUAGAGAGAAACAUAUAUAGUGUGCGUGAUAGGAAGCAAGAGUGAGGGCGAGAAAGAAGGUUGAUGGAGAAACAGAUAAAUAGAAAGAUAAAGAUGCUAGCUAGUGUGUGUUAGAGAUAGGAGUCGAGUGGAUCAGAAGGCUGAGUUAUGUGUGUGGGUGUGAGAGAGAUAGAGAGAGGGUGCAUGUGAGUCACAUACAAACAAAUAUCAGAGAGAAAUGAGAUCCCAAGAGACGGAGUUUUGUGUCUAUGAGAGAGAAAGAUAUUUCACAACGAGAGUGAUAGCUAGAGAGACAUAUGAGGGAACACAAGAUAUCUCUAGGGAGAGAGAGUGUGUGUGAGCGACAUACAAGAGAAUGGCGGAGAGAUAUGAGACCCGGGGAGACAGAGUUUGUGUUUGUGUGUGAGAAAGAGAUAUUUAAGAGGAACAGUUGUAGCUUCUCAUACCUAAGGAGCGAAAGACAUCUCUGUGUGAGAGGGGUGUGCGAGUGGCACACAGGGGAAUAGUAGAGAGAAAUGAGACCCCGGGAGACGAAGUUUGUGUUUGUGUGAGAGAAAGAGAUUUCACAUGGAGAAUCAUAGUUAGAGACACAUAGCAGGGAGCGAGAUAUACUUAGAGAGAGAUAGAGUGAUGAAGGUCGAGGGAGAGAGUACCAUCAGUGUGUUAUGAAGACAAAAGAUCAUUGUCGACAUACAGGUAGCACGAGAGAUACCCGAGAGACGAUGAACACGUAUAAGUCUAGAGAGAUACUCCUAUAUAAGCAUGAGUGAUAGCUAUAUGAGACAAAUAUCUGGAUUAAAGGGGAUUCAAAUAUUUAAACUGGAGAUCACGACAUCGAUAAUAUCAUAACGCAAAUUGGUGAAUCAGACAUGCAUACUCAUUUGAAUUUGGGGACACGUGUAAUGUUAUAUAGUUUAUCAAUAUUAGUGAUCCAUAGAUUCUUUAAUUAGAGACAAUGCAUGGUUUAUACGCAAUUAAUGUCUAAACGGGAUUACACUAUAUGUUGCGUGUGUGAACACAUUAUACAUGUUUGAGAAUUAAAAAAGAACCGCAUGAAACACACAUUAAUUGGAGACGCGAGGAAUGCAUACAUUGGAUUUCAACAUAAAGUGGUUUCAAAUAUUUGAAAAUCCAAAUUAAGAUGGAUACAGCCUUAUGAAUCUGAGAUCAUGCCAUUUGUAAACAAUAUUUAUGUAUAAAGGGUGUUGUGCUUUUGAAAGUAUAUAUAAAAAAUGAUGUAUAUAGAAUUUUAUUCCAAUCGAAAAUGUAUCCUACCCGAACAAAAAUAGAAUACAAACUGGAUUCGAAUUGAGUUGGCACGGUAAACAUGCACUCUUGCUCUACAAAAAUCUGAACGAAGUGGGGAAAGUCACAGUAACCGCCCGAAACCAAAAUCUGCGAGAUGGAAAUUACUGCCUAUUCCUGACACGCAAAGCCUAUCGGCUCGAUUUCUAUAGGUUUUGAUAGGGGUAGGUUUGUAAUUUGACUCAAACAUGACAUAACCGCCUCUCACCCGGAUUCAUACACGGUGGGCGCCAAAACACAGUGUCUCCUUGGACGAAAUCGACUCCCUCCCGAAUUCAUACACGGUGGGUGCCAAAAACAAACUCUCGUCGGCAAAUAUUCGGUGUAUGCAAGAUUACCGUCCUAUCCCCAACCGACUAAUAUUGUUGUGAUGUAGGAAAUUUUAAACUGGGGCUAAGUUUAUAAAUUUCCUCGCAUUUGAGACAAGCGCGCCCUGAAGACAUGGUUCCCCCCUUCCUCUCUCCCUCCAUUUCCCCAUUCGUACUCCGUGGGCGCCAAAACACCCUCUCCACCCCAACCUCCUCCGUCCGCCACCCCAUCCACCGCCGUCCUCCUCCACCAUGCCAGAGCUGAUACCCCGACGCCAUCGUCCAUUACAAGAAAUCGACCUUUCUCAUCCACGGCUUCGGACCGGGAUCCUUGCAUCCCGUCCUCUCGCUUCAUCCCUGCCGUUGUCCACCUUGUCGGCGCCGCUCCUACGACCGUCUCGUCCACCGCCCCCUGCCGCCACCGUCUACCCUCCUAGAUCAGCUUCCACGCCGCCGACAACCAUCGCUACCGUAGCACUCUCAAAUUCUCAGCAGAUGCAUACACGGCGCCGCACCAGAGGCGGUACUCUUUCGUAUCUGCUCAACUUAUUUAUCGCAGCAAGAAAAUAGAUCACCACUGCUUUACUCUGAUUUCUUGUCCAUCACUUACUUGUUAAUUGAAAGCAAACAUUGGUUGUGAAGUUGCCUUUGUACGGUUUGCACCUUCAGAUCCGCCAUGGCACGCUCAACACUAUACUCGCAAUGCUUAUGGUUUUCCCCUUUUAUAUUCCACACCAGUUAAACGACAGUAGACUAAAUUUCAAAAUUGGGUCAGUCGAUUUUUGAGAGCUCGCCGGAGUUCGCCGGUGUGAAGGAAGGGGCUUGGGUGGGGACGAUGGUUGUGGGGGCGGUGGUGGGGCCUCGCCGAACGAAGAAAACUCAACGCGGGUGGGGGCGGGGGUGGGGGUGGGGGUGGCGGAGGAACACAGACGGUGGGGCGGUUCAGGGGAGGGCGGGGGAGGGUCAGGGCCGGUGGUUCGGCCGGAAGCCCAUGCAGUGUUCUGUAUGGGAAGAAUCAGAGACGAGGAAGAAGAAGGGUUAGGAGACGUAGGAUCUUCAUCCAACCGCCUGAAAUGGUCGACUGACCCAAAUGACAAAAGUCACGCGACUUGCAUGCAGACAUGCCUUUAUAUUUAGUACCAUCAUCGUAGCUGCUUAGCGCUGCUCCUGAAUCCAUCAAGCUAAACAACGUGCCACUCAUAAUUCCAAACUUGUUGCUCAAGUACGAAUCUGAUAUGAUGCUGAUAUUACUAAAACAGAUAACGUGUAAUUGGUCAGCUAAUGUUCCUACUUUACUUUCGAAAGCACGUGCACCACAUAUAGAGAGACAGCAGGGAGUUGCAUUCUUAAUGCGCUCUGGUUCAUCAUGUGUGGGCACUGCGCAACGAACAUUUUAUUAUCCAAAAUCUGCUUGUUCUUCUUUAGCAUGUUCCUCUUUCGUUCUUCUUUAAUAAGUACUCUCUUCGUUCCUAAAUACAAGUCUUUGUAUUGAUUCCACCAUGGACUACAUAUGGAGCAAAAUGAGUGAAUCUACACUCUAAAAUGUAUCUGUAUACAUCUGUAUGUGAUCCAUAGUGGAAAUCUCUACAAAGACUUACAUUUUGGAACGGAGGGAGUAUGAUAGUAGUACAGUAUGUUCCUUGUAGUGAAGAUGAGCAGGGACAUUUGCAGUGUAGAGGUCUAUACGGUCGGUUGUGAUGGACACUUUGAACUCUUCGGGCCUCUUUGAUUCAUAGGAUUUUGUAAACAUAGGAAUAGGAAUUGUAGUGGCCUGCCCACUUGAAUCCUAUAUGAUUAGCAAGGAAAUGCGGGGAGUUGUGUCGCCUUUGAGAGUUACACUGAUAUUAACAGUACCGCACCUUCAUUUGAAGAGAGCUGGUAUCCAAAGCCUUUCUAGCCGUACCGGCAAUACUAGCACAUAUAUUCCAGCAAGUUCCACAUUGCUGAAUUUACUCGUGAUGCUUACGGUUUUCCCGUUAUAUCUACACUAUGAUCUGUGUAGCUGCUUUGUGUCGCACUAGCAGCAGUCCACUCUUGAAGCUAAACAACACACUAAUCAUAAGUCCAAAGCUUACUUCAAAUACGAAUUGUGAUAUGAUACUGACAUUAGUUAACAAACACACAUUUAAUUGGUCAGGUAAUGUUCCCACUUGAUUUUCCAAAUGCAUGUGGCCACAUAUAGAGAGACAUCAUGGAAUUGCAUUUCUUUGGGCGCUCUGAUUCAUCAUGGGUGGGCAACCAACAUUGUAUAGAAAGAAGGGGAAUCUCAAUAAUAUGCUUCCUCUUCCGUUCUUUAACAUGUUCCUCUUCCGUUCUUCUUUAGUAAGCACGGUAUGUUUCUUGUCAGGAAGGGGAGCAGGGACAUCUGCAGUCCACACCUCUAUUGGGCCGGUUCUGCUAAAUGAUUCUGCACUUCGAGUUGGUCUGCCAUAAUACGCUGGAAAUGGUGGGAGCCGGGCGGUCUUUGAUAGACUAAACUGAUAGUAACAGUUGUGCGCCUUCAGAUGAAUAGAGCUGGCCUGUAGGUGAUCGAUAGGCUGCAUAUUAGUAGCGGCAAAACCCUAUGUUUUCAGUCAGUUCCGCUUUUCCCGAUUUAUUUAUGGUGGUUAUGGUGUACCCCUAUCUACACUACGAUCUGCCUACUGGCUCUGCGCUCUCGUUAUCAUGGUUUGGCAAUAAACUUUCUAUACGGUAUAUUAUGAACCUAUCAUCUGCCAACUAUCCUUACAUCUGGGACCCCCAACAGGGAGCCUUUUUGUGUAGUUGUGCCAGAUUAUAUUAAACUACUCACCAUAUUACAACACACAUGGGCUCUCUGAUCAGAAUCCAGUGAUAGCACACAAGGGUUUACAGGGAGCCUCUAUUAUAUUACGAUAUCCUCUACGUUACAAAGAUAAUCUCACUACUAUUUGUGUUUUCAUGCUUUACAGAUAUUUUACGUAAUCACAAUGAAUAUAAGAAUGCGCACAUCAGAAGAAUAUUGCAGAACAGUUCAAUGGGUGACAAACUUGGCAUCAAGGGAUUGAGGUCGAUUGUGGAUGCAAUGAAACCCACAUGCUCCCGACCUAUAGAUUCGUAUUCAGAAUAUGAUCCUAAUGACUAUUCUGAGCUCAGGGAGUCAAAGGCAGAUGGCCUAUCCCGUUCACCCAAUAAGGUGCAUGUUCUAAUUUGGCAAGGUUUUAUUGGUUGCACAUAUCUUGCAUAAGGUGUCUUGCAUUUCUUUUGCUUCAUUGCACCGCCAUCUGCUUAGUUUACUCAUGAUAUAUGUGAAGAUGCCAUGCCCAUCCAUUAUCAACACCUAUUCCAUUUGUCGUCAUACCAUGUUUUUUCAUUCAAAUGUUGUUCUUGUGUUUCAGACAUCCAAAAGGAAGAGGGUGAUUGCAGAACCUGAAGGAGUACAAGCAAAGUCCUUGAAAAAGGUGGUGCUACUGGAGAAAUCACAUAGCACCCGACGUAUAUUGGCAAUAGAACCAACGCCGCAAAACCUAGGAUAUCACAACUAUGCUGGUCGCUGAUUUGCUCUUGUGAGUACGUAUUGUCCUAUCGCUGUCCUUACGUUCAUAACUGUGGAUUAUGUGAUAUCAUUGUGCAUUAUAGCUUGCUUAUCCACUGUUCGCUCCAAAUUAUCAGAUCUCUAUUAAUGCUUAAAUUAAUGUAGAAUAAACCCAAUGCCUAUGAAGAAAUUUAGUUCUGCAUUGUUCUUGUAAGUAUAUGUUGUCCUUCAUCACUGUACUUAUAUUUGUCAGCUAGUUCUUCAUGUACACUUUCCAGCUUAUUUUCCCUUGUCCUCCAUUUUUCUACACAUCAGAUCUACAUUUACUCUUGCCAAAAUAUUGAAUAAAACCAAUGUUACUGAAGAAGUUUAGCUCCGCAUUGCUCUUGUCAGUGCCUUCUGCCUGUAUGCUGUAUUUACAUUUGUACUUUGCAUCUUAAGUUAAAUAAUCGCCAUUUGUUCCUAUAUUUUCACAUCUAUAUUUACUCUUGACAAAAUGUAGAAUAAAGGCAAUACUCUUGAAGAAGAGUGUGCGGUAAACUUCUCGAAUUGACACCACCCAUCAAUAUGGACAAGGCCUUUAUAGAGCCUGUCUUCACUCCUAAUGUGAGUUGUCCUCCUCGAGCCUUCAAACUUUGUUGUUUAUAUUUGGAUAGCUAUGAGUGCAAAUGUUGUUUAUUUUUGUCGUCUGCAUCAAAUUGCUUGUCAAAGUUUAUAAAGUAGAAGUACAUAAACAUAAGUUUGUCCUUCUCAAUUUUAGUCUUUAGUUGUACAAUCUAGUUCCUUAUUCGUACCAUGUAAAUUAAACUAAACAUAGCAAGUUAUCUUCUUUAGCACUAUGUGUAUGCUUGUGUUCUUGAUCUCUAAUCCAGUGGUGUGGUGAGACUACCAACAACAGCACAAUGUCAUAUCCUGCUAUGUCUCAACUAUGAACAAUGCCAUAUUAUAUUAAUGUUAUUUAAAUCGUGUCUCUUUAUUUACCAAUCUGAAAUGGUAUAAAUUGACAGUACACUCACCAUUCAUGCUUAUACGUUGUUUAGAACUACAUCUAUGCUUGCGUUCUUGAUCUGUAAUCCAGUGGUCUGGUGAAGCUGGCCGCUCCUGCAUAAUGUCAUUUCCUGCCGUCUUAACUAUGAACAAUUCCUAUUAUGUUAAUGCUAUUUUAAACCGUGUCUCUUUAUUUCUGACAAAGAAAUGAGAUGAAUUGACAGCGCUGAUGCUUAUACGUGCAAAACCUGUUAUCUACCUACUUGUUCUCUUUCAGGGUGACAACACUGCUACUAGGAAGAACUACCACAGUGAUAGUGAGACGAACCCAUUGUUUGUCCCUCUAACACAUAUUCCAGAGGAGAAGGCAACACAUAUUGAGGGUAGGGAUACAACCACGAAGUCACAUAUUGAUGUAGUGUCAAACUUACUCAGUGACACAAGCUCGACGAAGUCGCCGCCUGAAUCUGUUCGACUUCUUCAGUCUGAAAUUCAAGCAGAAAUACAUGCUUCCGCUCAAAUACGACUGGAACUCCAAUAUCUAUGCAAGAUUAACCGUAUGUACAGGACGUUUAUUGAUGCUAUGCAGCUUAAGUUGGUGGAUAUGAGCGCCAAAGAAGAGCGGUCUCAUCAGGUUGCUAAGUUGCUUGCGCUGCAGCUCCUGCGCCGGGCUAACCUUUCUUGAACUGUGUUGAAGUGUUGUCGGUUCUGUCUAUUAUUUUGUCCGCCUGUUAACUUCCACUGGUGGCGACCUGCCCAGUUUAUGUAAUCUGCUGUCUGGUUGCCCUUUAUUAUCAUUGGCGGUGAACUUUGAUGCCGAGGGGAUGUAAUAUGUUGUAAUUUCUUUGUUGUAUAGUCCAGGUUUAUUCUUGGUCGGUAUGCUAUAAUUUAGGCCGGAAGGUUAAGUGGGUCUCAAUGUUGUCGGUCUUCAGGCUGACCCGUUACUCAUAUGGGUCAAAACGUGGGCCUAUAAUCAUCUUGGGCCAUUAGCAGGUCUAAACCUAUAGUUGUUUCCCGCCUUUAACAGGCCGAGUAAAGUUCUGGCCAGCUGGGCCAGAGAAAGCCAUGGGCUUUUAACAAGCUAAAACCUAGAUUGGGCUAGCGUUGAGCCGAAAAAUUCAUGGGCCAAAUAUAGGUCGAAACUGCCUAAGGCCCAUGUGUGGCCCAAAUAGGACGAGCAGUUAAUAGGCCAAAAUAUAUCUCGGGCCUGUUUGGCCCAAUAAAAUUAUGGGCUUUAAGCAGGCCGGUAUCUACGUGGGCCAUAGGCCUAAAAGUGUCACGGGCCAUUAUCAGAUGGGUUGUAAGCAGGCCGGAUUCAACGUGGGCUGUAAUUAGGCCCAACUGUUACACGGGCCAUUAACAGGCCGAUAGGCCAGUUGGGCUGAAAUUUAUCCACGAAGACUACGGGCCGUUAAAAGGCCCAAAGUUACUUCGGACAAGAAAUAGCCCAGUUUCUGCAUGGGCCAUUAAAUGGCCUAAAGUUAAACCGGGCCGAGAACAUCCCAGAUGCACCAUGGGCCGCUAACAGGCCAAAACUAUUAUCGGGCCGAACUGGUAAACAGGCAUUUAACAGGCUGAAAUACAAACCUGACUUAGAAUUGGCCCAAAAGAACAGUGGCCUGUUAACGGGCUUGAUCCGAUAUGGGUUGUAAUUUGGCCCAAAACACGGCACCUGCCUGAUCUGGUAUGGGCCUCAAUUUGACCCAAAACAUGGCGGGUUGUUAACGGGCCAACCCACUAGUGUCUGAAAAAACAUGGUGGGCCUUUAGCUGGGCCGACCUUUUCACCGGAAUAGGCCUCUGUUGGGCCGUGCCACGUGUCGACGUAUCAUAGGCGCCUCCUGUCCAAUGAGUGGAUGACAUCUGUCCCAACAGUGAGCCAACACGUGUUUCCUCCAGCCAAUGAGAAUUUUACACAUGGAAAAUCCCCAUUGGUCCGGGCUGUUAACGGGUUAUCGGAUCCAAAACCGAACCUGAUAGCUUAACGGCAACCCGUUACGGUCGAUGCCACGUGUCAGUCACCCUUGAUGAAAGCACUUCUAUGAUGCACGAUUUAUCGUCAUGGAAGUGGACACUUCCCUGAUGAUAAUUUUGGUAAUGUCAAGGAACACUUCUACGAUAGCACAGGUAUGACUAUCUUGAUUCUUUCAUAAAAUCGUCAUGGAUGUACAUGCAUGACAAAAAACGUGACCUACUGUGACAAACACGUAUCAUCACGGAAAUGUAUUUUUUUGUAGUGUACGGGUUCGAGAACUAUAUAGACAUGAACGAGACACAUCUCCGGUCAAUAAUCAAUAGCGGAACCUGGAUGCUCAUAUUGGCUCCUACAUAUUCUACGAAGAUCUUUAUCGGUCAAACCGCAUAACAACAUACGUCAUUCCCUUUGUCAUCGGUAUGUUACUUGCCCGAGAUUUGAUCGUCGGUAUCAUCAUACCUAGUUCAAUCUUGUUACCGGCAAGUCUCUUUACUCGUUCCAUAAUGCAUCAUCCCGUAGCUAACUCAUUAGUCACAUUGCUUGCAAGGCUUAUAGUGAUGUGCAUUACCGAGAGGGCUCAGAGAUACCUCUCCGAUACACAGAGUGACAAAUCCUAUUCUCGAUCUAUGCCAACUCAACAAACACCUUCAGAGACACCUGUAGAGCAUCUUUAUAAUCACCAGUUACGUUGUGACGUUUGAUUGCACACAAAGUGUUCCUCCGGUAUUCGGGAGUUGCAUAAUCUCAUAGUCAGAGGAAUAUGUAUAAGUCAUGAAGAAAGCAAUAGCAAUAAAACUAAACGAUCAUUAUGCCAAGCUAACGGAUGGGUCUUGUCCAUCACAUCAUUCUCUAAUGAUGUGAUCCCGUUGAUCAAAUGACAACACAUGUCUAUGGUCAGGAAACUUAACCAUCUUUGAUUAACGAGCUAGUCAAGUAGAGUCAUACUAGGACACUCUGUUUGUCUAUGUAUUCACACAUGUACUAAGUUUCCGGUUAAUACAAUUCUAGCAUGAAUAAUAAAUAUUUAUUAUGAUAUAAGGAAAUAUAAAUAACAACUUUAUUAUUGCCUCUAGGGCAUAUUUUGCCGGGUGCGCCUAGGGGCCGAACGAGUGGAGAUGCUCUAAAGUAACGGAGUUUUGUUCGUGAAGUAUUUUCAUCGCCGGCGAGCUCGCAUGUAUGUUUUUUCAUAGUUUUCCGAAGCUCAUUUGUGCCACCGAGCGAAAGUUUAAUUUCGAGCCUGUUUCGUCCAGGAUGGGAGGAUCGCUGGUUUAUGGAUUUGGUUUUUUCCCCAGAGUUCACGUGUGGGUACUGCUGAGACUGCAAGUAAAUCGAACGAAGAACAGAAAAGAACAGCAAUUAGAACACGGAAACGGAAGCAUGGCACAAAUCGAGGAUUUGGUUCGGUGUUCACUGCUUUGAGGGACAAAGAACACGCCAUGGCUACCAGCGAGGACAAGGGCGAGUCGGAAGAUGGGGACGGGGAUAUGUGUGCGCAAGGGACAAGACAUGAUUUAAUAAAAGUGUACAGUAGCAAGUAUCUUUUUUCUGCAUGGCAGUAGCAGAUAUCUUGCGAGGCACACUUCGGGCGUGUUUGGUUGUCGUAGCCUACAGUAGCUGCAUUGCAUAGGCUUCUCAACUCAGCCUGGCUAUGCAAAUGCAGCCUCAAAUGCACCAUCUGCAAGUUGUUUGGUUGCCUGCAUGCCCUCUUGCCUGCAUGGGCUGAACCACACUGCCUGGUGUUUGGUUGCCUGCAUGUUAGUGGACAAACCCAAUGCAUGGUGUUUGGUUGUAUGCAACGCCUGGUGUGUGGUAACCUCUUUGGCUAGUUGGUGAGGUUACCAGCACACUUUGGCACAACCAUGUAGCACACAUCAUAAGCAGAGCCGGGUAUAAACAGAGGAUCAACUACUUAACAGCAUAUUUCAGAUAAGCAGUACCACAUUUCAUAAUAGUUCAAUGCAUAAACCAUAAACAGUUCAAAGCAGACUCGAUAGUACUUAGGAAGGAGGUGCCCCGGCCCUAGUCCUUGGCGGCGAAGGCUUCGUCGUGCUUCCCGCACUUGUUGACGACCUCAAUGCCAUCAUCGUCGAAGAUGAUGACCUUGAGGGUGUCGGGAGUGAGGAGCUUGAACGUCACCAUGUAGUCGAUCUUGAUCUGAUGAACGGCUGCGUAGGUGGCCCAACCCUGAUCCAGGGUCACCUUGCCGUUCAUCACCUUCACCGUCACCUUCCAGGAGUAGCCGGUGUUGUUCCCGAGCUUGAACUCCGUCGACACCGCGAUGAAGUGCUUGGUGAAGUCCAGGGGCAUGGGGAUGCACUCAAACUUCGGUGCAAGGAUGACCUUGCUGAAGUGAGUUGGGCCAUCCUCCUCAUGGUAGUGGUCGUAGUUGCGGCGCUUGUUGCUGGGGGCUCCUCCAUGCGCUCGUCAUCGCCAACCUCAGGCGUCUUCGGUUCUUCCUCGGUGGUGGGCGGCAGCAUAACGUCCUCGGGCAUUGGAUGAAGGGGCUGCUUGCCCUUUGUUGUCAACGGUCGGGAGCACCUCCGUGCCCAUCUCAUUGCUCUCCUCGAUCUGCACACAAUUCAUGGAGUCAGGCACAACACGGAGUUCAUGGCUUAUUGAAGAGCAUGUAGUAAAAACGACAUGACUGUCACUCUUCUCCUCCUCUAGAUCGCCCCUAUAUUUACUCACCCUGCCCACCACUACUUACCCACCCCCUCUCUUCUCUCACUGUCAACCUUCCUCCUCUCUAUCGCCAUGAGCUCUAGCUCCAGCUCCAACGCCAACCCCUUCCCUUGGGGUAUUGGCUGGAGGGCCUUCUUCCUCGGGUGGUCGGCUGGUGACCGCACCAAGUUCGAGAACACCGUGGAGGUGUGCUCGAACUUCGGCUCCAUGCCUGACAUGCAGAAGGAAUCUGAUGCAGUGCUCAUGAGGGCCACUGCACAAGAGCUGAAGACGCUGAUUCCUGAGCCAGCGAAGGGCGCGGUGGUAGUCGAUAUCAUUCGUUGGGCCAUGAAUCAGGCCGUCUCCGAGGACGCUUAACAGAGGAAGAAGUGGUACAAGUACAAGAACUACUUUUCUCCUAAUGACCGUUGUGCUGCAGUGUACUGGGAGACGGCAAUCGUGCCGUCGGCGGUCAUCGGUGGGGAGUCUAACACUACUAGGGAAAACCCUAGCAGUAGCGCAGGUAUUUUGCCUAUCAGUAGCGCGGGACGACGCGCUACUGAUAAGGCGCUACAGCUAACGUGUAGCAGUAGCGCAUGUCGUCCCACGCUACUGCUAUACAUGGAUAGCAGUAGCGCGCUUUGGUGAAGAGCGCUGCUGCUAAUAUCUGCAACACUUUUUAGAAGGAAGCGCUACUGGUAAGGCGGCGCUACUGCUAACUUUGUUCCCCUCACUACUUCUAGUUUUAUUAGUUUUUUUACAUAUUUGUUUUGUAUUUGAAUAGGUUGUAUACAAUAAUCUUUAGCAUAUCAUACACAUACAAAUGUAAUCAUAGCAUAUGCAUACAACUAGUCUCAUCAAAUCAUGUCAUCAUCAUAAUCAUCAUCCAACACAAAGUGGUCUCUCGUCAUCAUCUCGAAAAUAGCGAUACAAGUCUCGAUUACUUGCAACUACAUCGUCAUCCAUCUAAACAAUGAUAUACGCGAGAAGAGCUAUCACUUUGAGUGAGAGCGGAACUAUGCAGUACAUGAGUUCGUAUCCCUCUCUCGCAUUAGCGUGAACCUAAACUAACUACUGCACGUCGCUCGGAAACCGGAAACCGGUACACCUAGGCCUGACACUCCGUAUAUAUACUCCUGGCGUAGCACUUCUUCCCCAUCGAUGAUCUAUGCACCUGCAUCGUCACAUGAGUCGAUGAUAUGCAACAUAUAUAGUUGAGCAACAGAAAGAGACAGACUUGGCAAAAAUAGAAGCAACAUAUCAUAAGCAUAAAUAACAAAGUUGAUCGUACCCAAAAUACCCUAACUAGAGUGAUCGUCGCUAGUCGAGGAGGACGGUUUAAUUACAUCACAAAUAAAGUUUCAUCAUGCAUAACUCAAAGUUUCGUCAUACAGAAAGUAUGGACUAAACGGACACAUUGUCAUAUAUCGAUAAUCACUCCAACAUGUCGUGCCAUCCAUCCAAGUCAGGGAGAUAGUCCCCGAGCCUAGUGCAAGGCUUCAGGUUGAGACGCUGAGAGGCUACCCGUGUUCGGACGUCUUCCCGCGACAUUUGUCCUUCUUCGUAGAACAUCCCUGUUUUUCCUACGACCUCCUUCAUGAUGAUUUGGGCAAGUUCGCGCUGGAUGUGAUAGAACUCAGCUCGAAGUCGAUGAUCCUCGAUAUCUCCUACGUUCUUUGCCCGUUGCAGAAUAUGGGCAUCGCCGGAUGUAGGUGACAUGCGAAGGUUCUGGUGAUCCCGUCUGUACUCUAGCAUGUGGUGUAGGACAUAGAAUCCAUCAUUAAGAGAAUCACUCGGUUGCUGGAUGUAGCAGAAGUCGGUCUUAUGGCCGAAGGCGGGCCUGCCGCCCCUUCUCUUCUUGUUCUUGACCUCUCCACCCCGUGCGUCGUAGUAAAACAUAGCACUAUCGAGAACAUCCUUGAUGUGGGUGUAAUCCUUUUUGUUAAUGUUCUUCGACGAGUCCAAGUAAAGAGCGUGGGAGUAUCGGGGGUAGAGGAUGAUGAGGACGGCGCGCCCGCCACUGCGCAAAAUAAGUACACCUCAAAUUAAUUAGCCUCCACUGUGCAAAUGAAUGAUUGAAAUCGAAGGAAGGAUAUCCGCGCGGAUGACUUACAGGGGAUGAUAAGGCACGAGAAUCGCCUCCUUGUCCUUAUUGGCGAGCAUGAAAUUGACGAUGUAUUCCCUCGCGUAUUCACGGUGCUUUGCGCAGACUCCCAAGAAGCCCUCGUGCAUGAAGUACGGGUCAGCGACACAGAUAUGAGGUAUCUGCUCAACCCCGAUGAUGUAGUUCAUGUGCAAGGCAUAAAGGCGGACAAACGUAAAAUCCAGCUUCUUCACGUGAAACAUGUCGAAUAUGUAAUCGAAUCGAAGGAAGAACUUAUCCGCGGGGAAGAAGUCGACGUACGACAAUUGCCGCGGAACGUUAACCACGUAGAGUGGGUAUCCUAGAUCUUUCGAGGCGAUGAGGCCUUUCUCUAUCCGCAGCACAUCGUCAUGAAGUCUCCUUAGAUCGCCGAAUCUGGCCCCUAGCGCUGCUGUAGGUAGGAUUGUUUGACCGGGGAUAUGCCAUUUAUCCGCACCGGGGAUAUCUAUACGGUCUUGAACCCGAGGCUGCUGAGGCGGCUGGAUCAUAGAAUCAGCUUUUUGCCUUUCCUCGAUCUCUUCCUAGACUUCUUUACUACCGGAAGGUCGUCCAUAAUACGUUCAACCUCCGGAGACGGCAAUUCAGGCACCGACUCAUGACGCUCAAACCCUAAGUAGGCGCCAGUAUAGACAUACUGUUGAGUGCCAUCAUCAUCCUCAUCCUCAUCUAUGGCGACGUCACCAGCGACUAAUGGAGCCUUUUCCUCACCCCCUCCGCUAUCACCCAGCACGACAGCCGACGCUAAUUGGGUAGGUGAGGUGUUGAUGUUCAUACCUAACUGUGUGCUCGUGGGUGUGCUCCCGGCCGCCUCCAGACAAAGCAGACUCUUUGGCCACAACAGGACCCACCCAUUGCAACAAUCACCAAGCCGCCGCGGGGUCUCGUCGUCAUCCCCCACUAGUACCAGAGGAGGCAAAUUCUCGUGGCCUGGUUUGACACUGGCCACGAAAACCUUGAAGACCUUCGGGGGGAUCGGCCGGUUGUGGAACAAUGGUUCCUUCGGCUUCAUUAUCGUCGCCUUCCCCACGUCCACCUUCUGGUCGCCGAUGGUGUACAAUAUGGUGCACGGGGUUUCGUCGGCCUGCAAAGAAAAGUCUGCGACGUGAGACAUCCGAAAGGCAACGAAAACGGGAGAUUAUACAUUUAUUGAAGGGGGCCGGUGUGACAGAUACCGUGAGAGCGUCGAGCUCAGCCAAAGAUGAAGCACCGCCGAGCACGUUCGGUGCCGGAGCCAGUGCGGGAGCCGGUGCGGGAGCAGGUGCGGGAGCCAGUGCGGGAGCAGGUGCAGCUGCAGGUGCUGGUGCAAUGCUAGUCGAGCUGCUCCCCAAGAAGUCAGCAAGGGGAAAGUCCGCUGCAUUUUUUCUGGAUUUUGCCUGGUCCAAUUGAAAACGGCCGGAACCAAGGAAGUAGACAUAUCUACAACCACCUGUUUUGCGGCAGCUGCCGCUGUUGCGACUGUCUGAGAUGAUUUCUUCUCAACCGCAAUCUCAACCUUCUUGUUGAUGUUUUCUUCAGUUAACCUCCGUCUUUCCUUUCUCUCCUCCGUGGUCUCACGGUAGUACUUCUUCCACGUGGCGCCAUCUCCGACACCGUGCACGCGUCCAUACGACGGUCGAUUCUCCACCGGGAGUCGUUUCAAUAUGUUCAACGCCCGGUUGAAUGGAGUGUCCCACUUGGGCCUCGCCAAUGCCUCAGAUGGCGAGUCGCUUUCGGCCGCAAUCCUGUCCUGCUCUCUCUGCAAAAGGCACAAGGAUCGUUUACAAAUAUGACUAACGUGUAGUCGAAUUGAUCAGAAACUAAAAUUUCCAGCAGUCUCAUGAACUCCGUCGUGACCGCGUUUGUCUCGAAAACCUUCUUCACUGGGUCCCAACGGUGCCGGGCCCUGAGGACGUCAUGCUCCUGCGGGACGAUGAACUCCGCCAAGGGGUCUGGGAUGCCCAGAGUCGCAGCUUCCGCGUCCUCCUUAGCCCAUAUGGACCUCUUCCCGCCGUAACCACGGCUUCCGAGGUGGUGGCACCCAAUGUUCCUCUGUUGAAGCCCUUUCAUGUACUUCGACUUUUUUUGGCAUCUUCGACCUUGCAAGCCACCUUGAAUAUUUCAAAGUGCUCUGCCGUGAUUGUCGGAUUAUCCUUUACAAUCUCGGAGUAGGGUUCCUUUUUGUCGAUGAUCCUUACUUUCACCCUUGUUUUCCAGGCGGCCAACGCGUCGCUAAACUUGGACAUGGCGUGUUUGUUUAUCUUCUUCAUUGUCGGGUUCUUAUCUAGAUCUUUAUAAUCCUUUUCAUUCCGGCCCGGGAACAAGAAUAUCUGGUGCAGCUUCUUUAGGAGGGAGGGCCUCAUAUUAUCUAUCUUCUGUAGUUUCUCAUCGUUGAUGGUGGCGGUUGUCCGUACGAUGCAGCCUAUUUGACUGCCGUAGCACGCGCGCGCUUCCUCGGGCACGGUUGACUCAAAAUUGUCGGUGUCCACCGCCGUGACCACCAGUCUAGUAGUCCUGAGUUUGUUAGGAAGUCGUUGCCUCUUUGCUUUCAGUCCUACACCGGCUCCGCUCCCCGAGGCAGCGCCGGCCUCAGUCUCGAUGCCGGUCUGAAUCUCAGCGCCGGUCUGAAUCUCAGCCCCGGUCUCAGUCUCAGCGCCGGCCUCAGUCUCAGCACCGGUCUGCGUGUCGGUCUCAGUCCCCGAUGCGAUCGGUGGGCCCAGCAACAACAUCGGUUGAUCGUCGGCAAGGCUCAAAAAUUCGUCUACCGCCAGGUAGACGUUGUCGCAAUAACCAGAACCCCGUCCUUCAUCGUUGCUAGCCAUGUUUCCUACGAUUAAAUCUAGUCAAUUAAUUCUAGACCUAAUAAAAUGAAUAAUAACAUAAAAGGCCUAUGUUUUGCAGGAACGUUGACUCCUUCCCGGUGCGGCAAAUCCUGGGCACUCGAUAUGUCCUAGUUUGUAGCACAAGUCAUGCCGAAAUUCACAGAAAAUUUCGGCACAACCUUUGCUAAAAAGUGGACAAAUCGAGAACCUGAAAUUUGCCGGAACGGAAAUGAAUCAACAUUCCGGCAAAACAUAGGCCACUCAACUUCAUUCCCUGGAAACAACAAAAGGCCACUUGGGCACAAUCGAACCAUUUCAAUGAAAAGAUAUAACAUGACCACUUCAAUGAAAAGAUAUAAUCAACAAUAAAAGUCUAGGAAGGGAUCAUCUUUAAAAUAAAACUUGCCUAAAUUCUUUUCCUAGAAAAAUAGUGGUCGAAAAUAAAUUUUUCCUCUAACCUAGCGAACCUAGUUAACCUAACUUGUUAACCUAACGAACCAAAUUAACCUAGCUAGUUAGUUAACCUAGCUUGUUAACCUAGUUUAUCUAGAUAAUUAACCUAAUUAAACUAGUUAACCUAGCUAGUUCUCUGUCAAAGCCCUAAAUAAAUUUUUUCUUAACCUAGAUAAUUAACCUAAUUAAACUAGUUAACCUAACUAGUUCUCUGUCAAAGCCCUAACUACAUUUUUGCACUAACCUAGAAAAUUAACCUAAUUAAACUAGUUAACCUAGCUGGUUAGUAUGUCCAAUGUUUGUGCUAUGCAUCAGAGAGAGAGAGAGAGGAGGGGUGCUUACAGGCGAUGGCUCCGGUGGUGGCGAGGGAGGCAGUGGUGGCGAGGGAGGCAGGGGCGUCAAGGGUGGCUCUGGUGGCGCCGAGGGCAGCUCCGGUGGCGUUGAUGAGGCCGCGCGGCUCCGGUGGCGUUGGGGGUGGCUCUGGUAGCGUCGACGGCGCGCGGCUCUGGUGGCUCCGGGGGCGUCGGCAGGAGACGGCGGCGAAGUGGGGCGACGGCGAAUUGGGGACACGGCGGCGAAGUGAGGGCGAGGGAUUUGGGGGAGAAGUGGUCGCCGGGUGGAGGGAAAACCGCUGAUUAAGUGAAACAUAGCGGUAACGCGUUAAAGGAAACGCGCUAUAGCUUUAGCUAUAGCGCGUUUCACAAAACAAGCUACUGCUAAGCAUGUCUCUUUUUUUCCAUUUCUCAUCUAUUUUUCUUUACAUUUUAUUUUUUCCUUUCUCCUUUUUCUAUUUUCUUUCUAUUUUCAUUUACUUUUCUAUUUGUUGUUUGAUUUAUUUUCUUUUCGUUAGCAACAGCGCCUUUCUACAUAAACGUGCUGCUACAAUAUACAUAGCGGUAGCGCGGUUUAAUUAAGAACGCUACUACUAUGUGUAGCUUAUCGGCUUAGUCGUGAGAAUUUUAGUUGUAGCGCGUUUAUAGUUAGGCGCGCUACUGCUACGUUUGUAUCUGUAGCGCUCUUAUCAUGCACGCGCUACUGCUAUUUAGCACUAGAGCGCUUUUUUAACAAGCGCUACUGCUAAAAUUCUGUGUAUAAGGUUUUCCCUAGUAGUGUAAGGAGGAGGAAGAACCGGUGCAGAUGCCAGCGAGUGCGCCGGAGCCAGGCCGUCGUACCUGGCAGAUCGACCUCGACUCCGCCGAGGACGAGGACGAGGACCCGCCACCGCGCACGGCGAUGAACAAGAAAAUGAAGGCCAGCCACUCGACCUGCCGCUCCGCACGCCCGUGACGGCCACCGCAGUUAGCCGGUGUCCGUUGUGUACCCCCAAUCCCUCUUCUACUGCAUCCGCAUCUACCUCUAUUCCGAUCUUGCAUGAACUAGUAUGAAGUAGUAUGAACUCGUAUGAACUAGUAUGAACUACCUCUACAUGCUUAUCUACCUCUAUUCCCCAUUCCCCUCUCCACCGUGGAUCGAAUCUAUCGCUGGAUCGAACGGGAAAAAAUAGUGCAUGACGAACAGAGAAGUGCUUACCGCCAUUGCCGCGGGCCAAGUGAUGAUCCGCUCGCCAGUGAUGGAGUCUGGUGGUCUUCUUGCUCCCCUCCGAUCCGCCGCCGCCGGUGAGAGUUGGGAGAGUGGGGAAGAGUGGGGAGAGGGAGCGGUGAGGGGUGGUGAGGCUAAUAACUGCCGGCGCUUCAGGAAGCAAGGCGGCUUCUCGAGCGUGGCCACCCGCGUGCAGCCGCCGUCGCCCACAUGCACCGCCGGGCCUGGCCCUGGAGAAACUGUCGAUUCGAGCGUUUCCAGGGAGCCAAGCCCAGGAGUGCUUUAAGGUUCGUGCCAGGCGGGCCGAACAGUAAAAGCGGGUAACCAAUCAGCCGUUUGCGUCCCGCGCGAGCCAGUUCGGGCGUCAUGCAGGCAACCAAAUACGCCCUUCGUGAGUACGACAGCGGACCCUCUGCUACAGUGUCCUGGAUCAGGAAAAAUCCCCACGGACGAGACCGUAGAGGACGAGAGGGGGUCCACGUCAUAAUGGAGUACCGACACAGACAGGGACACUGUUCCAUAUUGAAUUUGGAGAUGCAAUACCCUGCUGAAGACAUCUGCACGCAUCGAUCUAGAGGCGGGCCAAUGGCUCAGAUAAUACUGGUAGUAUGAGCCAUAUUGAAUUUUUGGUAUACAAAUCUGGUUCAAGACCAAUACUGUUGGCACCUGCGGUAUUGUGUGCUUUACUGCUUGUGUUCCGCGCUGUAUACUACGUGCUACUCCUAGUUGUCUUGUUAAUCUUGAUCUGGAGUGUCCAGUGGAUGAUAAUAUGUACUUAUAUCGGAUCUUUGUAUUGCAUGGCGACGGCAACUUGUAUCUUAUUGGCCACAUCUUGGAUUGUCGAUAGGAAUCAAAAUCAGGUCAUGUGACCCAUAUAGAAAAUCAAGACGGUCAUGUGACCGGCGCUUGAGCUGCGAGUGUUGGAGUAGUUUGAUAUUUUAAUUUCUGUUUCUAAUGGAUCGCACAUGGUGGGACUUGGGAGUGAUCCAGCUCGGAUGCAUAGGAAAUCCUCUGUUUGCUGUUCCGUGAUGUGGAUGCGUUAUGGGUAAUGACAGGAAGCUCGUACAAUAUGUGUGGAAUUUCUCGUGACCGUUUUUAAAGAAUCUGGAGGUCGACACUACAAAUUUUCAGUUUAAAUUUCAAUUAGACCAGAACAACCUAUAUAGCACGUAAAGUAUGCUAGGCAACAAUUAGGAGCACUCGGCGAAGACGCACUCCGAAAUUACUGCCGAUCAUCUGCAUGCUCGGGAUGCGAGCCACUGUUGCAGAAAUGAAUUCUUAGAUGUGAAUACAGCACCAACGCGUAUAGCAUAGCAGUGCGUACAUGUCCUUCGUCAUUUAAUAACGCAAGAUGGGUAGCGUGUAGGGUACGGAAAUUGGCGGGGCAAUUACAUUUCUGCAGGGUGGUGGAGCAGCAUGGAACAGUGAACUAUACUGAGUGGGUAGGAGACUUUAGCACUUCGCCUUCAUGACCAAUUCGCAAAACAGUGAACGUAGGUACAAGUGGUACGUGGGUGGUUGUUUGUUACCGUGGUAGAAAAUGCUUGUAUGGAUUGAGAAAACACGCCAAUAUUGCACUGGAAUUAACCGUAUGAGCCAAUUAAAUGAAACGUGGAGGUCAGGCAUACAAUGGCGCGACUAGAGGAUUCUUAACAAUUUAGUUAUACAUAGUGAAGAUGACAACGAUUGAGCUUUUUAGGGGGCAUGUUCACAAACACGUAAGAGGCACAUCAGAUGACAACGAUUCAGCUUUUUAAGAAGAAAAAAAAUUACAUAGACGUUCGAAACGCUAGUCCUUCGUACAUAGGCGGACAGGGAGUAAUUCCGAGAAAUGCAUCGCUGAACGCAGCGACAGAUGCACGCAGCGCAUCGACGGUGUGCAGCGCGUCGCGACGCGGGGCGAGCUGGCGUGCUACUUGGAGUAUAUAGAAAAGGUGGAGAGUGAUAUGGUGCGUAUUGAUGUAUCCAGAUGGACCAAGCUGACAGUUGAGUCUGACACGAAUAUACGGCUCUGAGCCAUCAAUUCUGAAACGGCCCCAGCACAUGCGUAUGACUGCCAUCAACACUUGUUCAAAAGGUAGGCACAUAUCAUAAUUUCAGAUGACAAAAUAAGCUUCCAACUAUAGACGACCACACAGCGAGCUAGGAUCUCACCUGGUUUUUUAAAUCAAACCACCUCACAGCAAACCCAAAGAAGCCCUAAGUAGCUGAAUUGAACAUCACUUGCAAAGUGAAUAAAUGUACAGCACGCCCAGAGGUGCAGAAACUAAACCACUAAAAGAAGAACAGCUAAAAAUGCAGUAAGCAACGUCCAGUCCCCCAAAGACAGGCACAACGUUUAUUAAAAUUACAAGUCAACAGUCCUAACAAGCAGACUACAUAAAAAUCUCGCGCAGAUGUGAAAAGGGAUCCCAUGCUAGACGUAGGACAAGCGCCCAACCUGGUUACGCUCCACCCAGCAAGGGCUCGCCUAUCGAAAUUAAUAACCCUGCAUGCUCUGAGCGGACCGGCCCCAAAACUGUACCAAGCGAGCCCACCGAAAGCGACGUGUGCGGUGUAUUCGCUUGUAUCGAUCGAAUGUAUGUCCGCUUUACUUUCAAAUUUUCUUUUGCACAGAUCACCUCGCGCAGCGCGGCCGUCGAUGCGCUGCGUGCAUCUACCGCUGCGUGCAGGAAGGCUGCUCUCGAGUAAUUCCCAUAUAGUUUACUGAAUCACAAAGUCAUGCAAACUAAUUCGAAGAAAACAGCGUACAACAAAUAAUCAGGUACUGGGUGUGUGAACAGGUGACACAUUAGGAGACGAACUCGCCGCUCUUCUAAGAACUUAGCGUACGACAGAAAUUCAAGAACAGGUUGUGCUAACAGGUGCACAUUAGGGGACGAGCUUGUUGUGGGGUAAUCUUGGAAGACUGGACUGCGGCGAAGAACAUGGCCGCUUUUAUGACCAGGAGGUCGACGGAAGAUGACCGUUGUGGUGAACAGCAGUGUGCCGUUGGGGAGGAAGAAGGAGAGCGUGCGCAUUUAAGUGCAAUGGGUACUUGGGUGUUGGUGGUUGAGGCCGGAUCCAACUCAUUUGGACAUGAACUAUCUGCAAUGGGCACAGAAUGCGUGCACUGUAGUUCUUCUUGUUGGGGAACACAGUAAUUUCAAAAAAAAUUCUACGAUCACGUAAGAUCUAUCUAGGAGAUGCAUGGCAACGAGAGGGAGAGUGUGUCCACGUACCCUCGUAGACUGAAAGUGGAAGCGUUUAGUAACGUGGUUGAUGUAGUCGAACUUCUUCGCGAUCCAACCGAUCCAAGUACCCAACGUACGACACCUCCGCGUUCAGCACACGCUCAACUCGAUGACGUCUCUCGAACUCUUGAUCCAGUUGAGGCCGAGGGAGAGUUUCGUCAGCACGACGGUGUGGUGACGGUGAUGAUGAAGUUACAGGCAUAGGGCUUCGCCUAAGCACUAUGAUGAUAUGACCGAGGUGCAAAACUGUGGAGGGGGGCACCGCACACGGCUAAAGAUCAACUUGUCUUUUCUAGGGUGCCCCCUGCCCCGUAUAUAAAGGAGGGAGAGGGAGAGGCAGCUGGCCCUAGGGGGCACGCCAAGGUGUGGAAUCCUACUAGGACCCUCCCACACGGAGUAGGAAAGGGGGAAGGGAGAAGGAGAAGGAAAAGGGGGGGGGGGGGCAGCCCCCUUCCCCUAGUCCUAAUCAGCCUCCUGCCCAGGGGGGCGCACCAGCCCCUUGUGGGCUGACGUGCUUCCCUCUUAUGGCCCAUAAGGCCCAUAACUUCUCCCGGGGGUUUCCGGUAACCUCCCGGUACUCCGGAAAAAUACCCGAAUCACUCGGAACCUUUCCGAUGUCCGAAUGUAGCCUUCCAAUAUAUAAAUCUUUACCUCUCGACCAUUUCGAGACUCCUCAUCAUGUCCGUGAUCUCAUCCGGGACUCCGAACAAACUUCGGUCAUCAAAUCACAUAACUCAUAAUACAAAUCGUCAUCGAACGUUAAGCGUGCGGACCCUACGGGUUCGAGAACUAUGUAGACAUGACCGAGACACAUAUCCGGUCAAUAAACAAUAGCGGAACCUGGAUGCUCAUAUUGGCUCCUACAUAUUCUAUGAAGAUCUUUAUCGGUCAAACCACAUAACAACAUACGUUGUUCCCUUUGUCAUCGGUAUGUUACUUGCCCGAGAUUCGAUCGUCGGUAUCAUCAUACCUAGUUCAAUCUCGUUACCGGCAAGUCUCUUUACUCAUUCCGUAAUGCAUCAUCCCGUAACUAACUCAUUAGUCACAUUGCUUGCAAGGCUUAUAGUGAUGAUCAUUACCGAGAUGGCCCAGAGAUACCUCUUCGAUACACGGAGUGACAAAUCCUAAUCUCGAUCUAUGCCAACUCAACAAACACCAACGGAGACACCUGUAGAGCGUCUUUAUAAUCACCCAGUUACGUGUGGCGUUUGAUAGGACACAAGGUGUUCCUCCGGUAUUCGGGAGUUGCAUAAUCUCAUAGUCAGAGGAACAUGUAUAAGUCAUGAAGAAAGCAAUAGCAAUAAAACUCAAUGAUCAUAAUGCUAAGCUAACGGAUAGGUCUUGUCCAUCACAUCAUUCUCCUAAUGAUGUGAUCCCGUUCAUCAAAUGACAACACAUGUCUAUGGUCAGGAAACUUAACCAUCUUUGAUUAACGAGCUAGUCUAGUAGAGGCAUACUAGGGACACUUUGUUUUGUCUAUGUAUUCACACAUGUAUCAAGUUUCCGGUUAGUACAAUUCUAGCAUGAAUAAACAUUUAUCAUGAUAUAAGGAAAUAUAAAUAACAACUUUAUUAUUGCCUCUAGGGCAUAUUUCCUUCUGUCUCCCACUUGCACUAUAGUCAAUAAUCUAGUUCACAUCGCCAUGUGAUUUAACACCAAUAGUUCACAUCACCAUGUGAUUAGUUCACAUCGCCAUGUGACUAAUACCCAAAAGGUUUUACUAGAGUCAAUAAUCUAGUUCACAUUGCCAUGUGAUUAAUGAUACGUCUCCGUCGUAUCUAUACUUUUUGAUUGUUCCAUGCCAAUAUUCUACAACUUUUACAUACUUUUGGCAACUUUCUAUACUAUUUUUGGGACUAACAUAUUGAUCCAGUGCCCAGUGCCAGUUCCUGUUUGUUGCAUGUUUUUUGUUUCUCAGAAAAUCCAUAUCAAACGGAGUCCAAACGGGAUAAAAACCGACGAAGAUUUUUUUUGGAAUAUAUGUGAAUUUUGGGAAAUGGAAUCAAUGCGAGACGAUGCCCGAGGGGCCCACGAAGGUGAGGGGCGCGCCCUGGGCCCUCGUGGCCACCCCGUAAGGAGGUUGGUGCCCUUCUUUCGCCGCAAGAAAGCUAAUAUCCGGAUAAAAAUCAUGUCCAAAUUUCAACCCAAUCGGAGUUACGGAUCUUCGGGGAUUUAAGAAACGGUGAAAGGGCAGAGUCAGGGAGCGCAGAAACAGAGAGAGACAGAUCCAAUCUCGGAGGGGCUUUCGCCCCUCCCAUGCCAUGGAAGCCAAGGACCAGAGGGGAAACCCUUCUUCCAUCUAGGGAGAAGGUCAAGGAAGAAGAAGAAGAAGAAGAAGAAGAAGAGGGGGGCCCUCUCCCCCUCUCUCCCGGUGGCGCCGGAACGUCGCCGGGGCCAUCAUCAUCACCGCAAUCUACACCAACACCUCCGUCAUCUUCACCAACAUCUUCAUCACCUUCCCCCAUCUAUCUAUAGCGGUCCACUCUCCCGCAACCCGUUGUACCCUCUACUUGAACAUGGUGCUUUAUGCUUCAUAUUAUUAUCCAAUGAUGUGUUGCCAUCCUAUGAUGUAUGAGUAGAUUUUCGUUGUCCUAUUGGUAAUUGAUGAAUUGCUAUGAUUGGUUUAAUUUGCUUGUGGUUAUGUUGCUGUCCUUUGGUGCCCAUCAUAUGAGCGCGCGCGUGGAUCACACCAUAGGGUUAGUUGUAUGUUGAUAGGACUAUGUAUUGGAGGGCAAGAGUGACAGAAGCUUCAACCUAGCAUAGAAAUUGAUGCAUACGGGAUUGAAGGGGGACCAAUAUAUCUUAAUGCUAUUGUUGGGUUUUACCUUAAUGAACAUUAGUAGUUGCGGAUGCUUUCUAAUAGUUCCAAUCAUAAGUGCAUAGAAUUCCAAGUCAGGGAUGACAUGCUAGCAGUGGCCUCUCCCACAUAAAACUUGCUAUCGGUCUAGUAAAGUAGUCAAUUGCUUAGGUACAAUUUCGCAACUCCUGCCACCACUUUUCCACACUCGCUAUACUAACUUUAUUGUUUCUUUAUCUAAACAGCCCCUACUUUUUAUUUGCGCGCUCUUUAUUAUCUUGCAAACCUAUCCAACAACACCUACACGGUACUUCUAGUUUCAUACUUGUUCUAGGUAAAGCGAACGUUAAGCGUGCGUAGAGUUGUAUCAGUGGUCGAUAGAACUUGAGGGAAUAUUUGUUCUACCUUUAGCUCCUCGUUGGGUUCGACACUCUUACUUAUCGAAAGAGGCUACAAUUGAUCCCCUAUACUUGUGGGUUAUCAAUUAACACCCAAAUAGUACUAAGGUGUGAUCAUGUUUUGCUUGUGAGAGAAGUUUAGUCAACGGGUUUGUCACAUUCAGAUCCGUAUGUAUUUUGCAAAUUUAUAUGUCUACAAUGCUCUGCAUGGAGCUACUCUAGCUAAUUGCUCCCACUUUCAAUAUGUAUCCAGAUUGAGACUUAGAGUCAUCUGGAUCAGUGUCAAAGCUUGCAUCGAUGUAACCCUUUACGACGAACCUUUUUGUCACUUCCAUAACCGAGAAACAUAUCCUUAUUCCACUAAGGAUAAUUUUGACUGCUGUCCAGUGAUCCACUCCUGGAUCACUAUUGUACCCUCUUGCCAAACUCAUGGUGAGGUACACAAUAGGUCUGGUACACAGCAUAGGAUACUUUAUAGAACCUAUGACUGAGGCAUAGGGAAUGACUUUUCAUUCUCUUUCUAUUUUCUGCCGUGGUCGGGUUUUGAGUCUUUACUCAAUUUCACACCUUGCAACACAGGCAAGAACUCCUUCCUUGAUUGUUCCAUUUUGAACUACUUCAAAAUCUGUCAAGGUAUGUACUCAUUGAAAAAACUUAUCAAGCAUUUUGAUCUAUCUCUAUAGAUCUUGAUGCUCAAUAUGUAAGCAGCUUCACCGAGGUCUUUCUUUGAAAAACUCCUUUCAAACACUCCUUUAUGCUUUCCAGAAAAUUCUACAUCAUUUCCGACAACAAUAUGUCUUUCACAUAUACUUAUCAAAAAGGUUGUAGUGCUCCCACUCACUUUCUUGUAAAUAUAGGCUUCACUGCAAGUCUGUAUAAAACUGCAUGCUUUGAUCAACUCAUCAAUGCGUAUAUUCCAACUCCGAGAUGCUUGCACCAGUUCAUAGAUGGAUCGCUGGAGCUUGCACACUUUGUUAGCACCUUUAGGAUUGACAAAACCUUCUUGUUUGUAUCAUAUACAACUCUUCUUUAAGAAAUCCAUUAAGGAAUGCAGUUUUGACAUCCAUUUGCCAGAUUUCAUAAAAUGUGGCAAUUGCUAACAUGAUUCGGACAGACUUAAGCAUCGCUACGAGUGAGAAAAUCUCAUCGUAGUCAACACCUUGAACUUGUCGAAAACUUUUUUUGCGACAAUUUGAGCUUUGUAGAUAGUAACACUACUAUCAGCGUCCAUCUUCCUCUUGAAGAUCCAUUUAUUAUCAAUGGCUUGCCGAUCAUCGGGCAAGUCAACCAAAGUCCAUAAUUUGUUCUCAUACAUGGAUCCCAUCUCAGAUUUCAUGGCCUCAAGCCAUUUUGUGGAAUCUGGGCUCAUCGUCGCUUCCUCAUAGUUCGUAGGUUCGUCAUGGUCUAGUAACAUGACUUGCAGAAAGUAUUACUGUACCACUCUGGUGCGGUCCAUAAUCUGGUUGACCUAUGAGGUUCAGUAGUAACUUGAUCUGAAGUUUCAUGAUAUCAUCAUUCGCUUCCUCACUGACUGGUGUAGGAAUCACUGGAACUGAUUUCUGUGAUGCACUACUUUCCAAUUCGGGAGAAGGUACGAUUACCUCAUCAAGUUCUACUUUCCUCCCAUUUACUUCUUUCGAGAGAAACUCCUUCACUAGAAAGGAUCCAUUCUUAGCAACGAAUAUCUUGCCUUCGGAUCUGUGAUAGAAGGUGUACCCAACAGUCUCUUUUGGGUAUCCUAUGAAGACACAUUUCUCCGAUUUGGAUUUGAGAUUAUCAGGUUGAAGCUUUUUCACAUAAGCACCGCAGCCCCAAACUUUAAGAAACGACAGCUUAGGUUUCUUGCCAAACCAUAGUUUAUACGGUGUCGUCUCAACGGACUUAGAUGGUGCCCUAUUUAACGUGAAUGUAGCUGUCCCUAAUGCAUAACCCAAAAACGACAGUGGUAAAUUGGUAAGAGACAUCAUAGAUCACACCAUAUCUAAUAAAGUAUGGUUACGAUGUUCGGACACACCAUCACGCUGUGGUGUUCCAGGUGGUGUGAGUUGCGAAACUAUUCCACAUUGUUUCAAAUGAAGACCAAACUCAUAACUCAAAUAUUCACCUCCACAAUCAGAUCGUAGAAACUUUAUUUUCUUGUUACAGUGAUUUUCCACUUCACUCUGAAAUUCUUUGAACUUUUUAAAUGUUUCAGACUUAUGUUUCAUCAAGUAGAUAUACCCAUAUCUUCUCAAAUCAUCUGUGAAGGUCAGAAAAUAAGGAUACCCGCCGCGAGCCUCAACACUCAUCGAACCGCAUACAUCAGCAUGCAUUAUUUCCAAUAAGUCAGUUGCUCGCUCCAUUGUUCCGGAGAACAGAGUCUUAGUCAUCUUGCCCAUGAGGCAUGGUUUGCAAGCAUCAAGUGAUUCCAAAAGUCCAUCAGCAUGGAGUUUCUUCAUGCGCUUUACACCAAUAUGACCUAAACGGCAGUGCCACAUAUAAGUUGCAAUAUCAUUAUUAACUUUGCAUCCUUUGGCUUCAAUAUUAUGAAUAUGUGUAUCACUAUGAUCGAGAUUCAAUAAACCAUUUAUAUUGAGUGUAUGACCAUAGAAGGUUUUAUUCAUGUAAAUAGAACAACAAUUAUUCUUUGUCUUAAAUGAAUAAUCGUAUUGCAAUAAACAUGAUCCAAUCAUAUUCAUGCUCAACGCAAACACCAAAUAACAUUUAUUUUAGGUUCAACACUAAUCCUGAAGGUAAAGGGAGUGUGUGAUGGUGAUCUUAUCAACCUUGGAAUCGCUUCCAACUCACAUCAUCACCUCACCCCUAACUAGUCUCUGUUUAUUUUGCAACUCCUGUUUCGAGUUACUACUCUUAGCAACUGAACCAGUAUCAAAUACCGAGGGGUUGCUAUAAACACUAGUAAAGUACACAUCAAUAACAUGUAUAUCAAAUAUACCUUUGUUCACUUUGCCAUCCUUCUUAUCCGCCAAGUAUCUAGGGCAGUUCCACUUUCAGUGACCAUUUCCUUUGCAGUAGAAGCACUCAGUUUCAGGCUUGGGUCUAGUUUUGGGAUUCUUCAUGGGAGUGGCCACUUGCUUGCCAUUCUUCUUGAAGUUCCCUUUCUUUCCCUUGCCCUUUUACUUGAAACUAGUGGUCUUGUCAACCAUCAACACAUGAUGCUUUUUCUUGAUUUCUACCUUCGCCGAUUUCAGCAUCGCGAAGAGCUUGGGAAUCGUUUUCGUUAUCCCUUGCAUAUUAUAGUUCAUUACAAAGUUCUAGUAACUUGGUGAUAGUGACUAGAGAACUUUGUCAAUCACUAUCUUAUCUGGAAGAUUAACUCCCAUUUGAUUCAAGUGAUUGUAGUACUCAGACAUUCUGAGCACAUGCUCACUAGCUGAGCUAUUCUCCUCCAUCUUGUAGGCAAAGUACUUUGUCAGAGGUCUCAUACCUCUUAACAUGGGCAUGAGUCUGAAAUACCAAUUUCAACUCUUGGAACAUCUCAUAUGCUCCAUGUCGUUCAAAACAUUUUUGAAGUCCCGGUUCUAAGCCGUAAAGCAUGGUGCACUAAACUAUCAAGCAGUCAUCAUACCGAGCUUGUGAAACGUUCAUAACGUCUGCAUCUACUCCUGUAAUAGUUCUGUCACCUAGUGGUGCAUCAAGGACAUGAUACUUCUUUGCAGCAAUGAGGAUAAUUCUCAGAUCACGGAGCUAGUCCGCAUCAUUGCUACUAACAUCUUUCAACUUAUUUUUCUCUAGGAACAUAUCAAUAAAUAAACGGGGAACUACAUCGCGAGCUAUUGAUCUACAACAUAGAUAUGCAAAUACUAUCAGGACUAAGUUCAUUAUAAAUUAAAGUUCUAUUAAUCACAUUACUUAAGAACUCCCACUUAGAUAGACAUCCCUCUAGUCAUCUAAAUGAUCACGUGAUCCAAAUCAACUAAACCAUGUCUGAUCAUCACGUGAGAUGGAGUAGUUUUCAAUGGUGAACAUCACUAUGUUGAUCAUAUCUGCUAUAUGAUUCACGCUCGACCUUUCGGUCUCCAGUGUUCCGAGGCCAUAUCUGCAUAUGCUAGGCUCGUCAAGUCUAACCCGAGUAUUCCGUGUGUGCAAAACUGGCUUGCACCUGUUGUAUGUGAACGUAGAGCUUAUCACACCCGAUCAUCACGUGGUGUCUCGGCACGACGAACUGUAGCAACAGUGCAUACUCAGGGAGAACACUUAUACCUUGAAAUUUAGUGAGAGAUCAUCUUAUAAUGCUACCGCCGUACUAAGCAAAAUAAGAUGCAUAAAAUAUAAACAUCACAUGCAAUCAAAAUAAGUGAUAUGAUAUGGCCAUCAUCAUCUUGUGCCUUUGAUCUCCAGCUCCAAAGCACCGACAUGAUCACCAUCGUCAUCUGCUUGACACCUUGAUCUCCAUCGUAGCAUCAUUGUCGUCUCGCCAACUAUUGCUUCUACGACUAUCGCUACCGCUUAGUGAUAAAGUAAAGCAAUUACAUGGCGAGUGCAUUUCAUACAAUAAAGCAACAACCAUAAGGCUCCUGCCAGUUGCUGAUAACUUCUACAAAACAUGAUCAUCUCAUACAACAAUUUAUAUAUCAUCACGCCUUGACCAUAUCACAUCACAACAAGCCCUGCAAAAAACAAGUUAGACGUCCUCUACUUUGUUGUUGCAAGUUUUACGUGGCUGCUACGGGCUUCUAGCAAGAACCGUUCUUACCUACGCAUCAAAACCACAACGAUUUUUCGUCAAGUGUGUUGUUUUAACCUUCAACAAGGACCGGGCAUAGUCAAAUUCGAUCCAACUAAAGUUGGAGAAACAGACACCCACUAGCCACCUGUGUGCGAAGCACGUCGGUAGAACCAGUCUCAUGAACGCGGUCAUGUAAUGUUGGUCUGGGCCGCUUCAUCCAACAAUACCGCCGAAUCAAAGUAAGACGUUGCUGGUAAGCAGUAUGACUAUUAUCGCCCACAACUCAUUGUGUUCUACUCGUGCAUAUAACAUCUACGCAUAGACCUGGCUUAGAUGCCACUGUUGGGGAACGCAGUAAUUUCAAAAAAAAACCUACGAUCACGCAAGAUCUAUCUAGGAGAUGCAUAGCAACGAGAGGGGAGAGUGUGUCCACGUACCCUCGUAGACCGAAAGCGGAAGCGUUUAGUAACGCGGUUGAUGUAGUCGAACUUCUUCGCGAUCCAACCGAUCCAAGUACCGAACGUACGGCACCUCCGCAUUCAGCACACGUUCAACUCGAUGCCGUCCCUCGAACUCUUGAUCCAGUUGAGGCCGAGGGAGAGUUUCGUCAGCACGACGGCGUGGUGACGGUGAUGAUGAAGUUACCGGCAUAGGGCUUCGCCUAAGCACUACGACGAUAUGACCGAGGUGUAAAAUUGUGGAGGGGGGCACCGCACACGACUAAAGAUCAACUUGUCUGUUCUAGGGUGCCCCCUGCCCCCGUAUAUAAAGGAGGGAGAGGGAGAGGCAGCCGGCCCUAGGGGGCGCGCCAAGGUGUGGAGUCCUACUAGGACUCCCUAGUCCUAGUAGGAUUCCACCUCCCACACGGAGUAGGAAAGGGGGAAGGGAGAGGAGAAGGAAAAGGGGCGGGGGGGCGACCCCCUUCUCCUAGUCCUAAUCGGCCUCCUACCCAAGGGGGGGGGGCGCACCAGCCCCUUGUGGGCUGGUGUGCUUCCCUCUUAUGGCCCAUAAGGCCCAUAACUUCUCGCGGGGGGUUUCGGUAACCUCCCGGUACUCCGGAAAAAUACCCGAAUCACUCGGAACCUUUGCGAUGUCCGAAUAUAGCCUUCCAAUAUAUGAAUGUUUACCUCUCGACCAUUUCGAGACUCCUCAUCAUGUCCGUGAUCUCAUUCGGGACUCUGAACAAACUUCGAUCAUCAAAUCACAUAACUCAUAAUACAAAUCGUCAUCGAACGUUAAGCGUGCGGACCCUACGGGUUCGAGAACUAUGUAGACAUGACCGAGACACAUCUUCGGUCAAUAACCAAUAGUGGAACCUGGAUGCUCAUAUUGGCUCCUACAUAUUCUACGAAGAUCUUUAUCGGUCAAACCGCAUAACAACAUACGUUGUUCCCUUUCUCAUCGGUAUGUCACUUGCCCGAGAUUCGAUCGUCGGUAUCAUCAUACCUAGUUCAAUCUCGUUACCGGCAAGUCUCAUUACUCGUUCUGUAAUGCAUCAUCCCGUAACUAACUCAUUAGUCACAUUGCUUGCAAGGCUUAUAGUGAUGAUCAUUACCGAGAGGGCCCAGAGAUACCUCUCCGACACACGGAGUGACAAAUCCUAAUCUCUAUCUAUGCCAACUCAACAAACACCAUCGGAGACACCUGUAGAGCGUCUUUAUAAUCACGCAGUUACAUCGUGACGUUUGAUAGCACACAAGGUGUUCCUCCGGUAUUCGGGAGUUGCAUAAUCUCAUAGUCAGAGGAACAUGUAUAAGUCAUGAAGAAAGCAAUAGCAAUAAAACUCAAUAAUCAUAAUGUUAAGCUAAUGGAUGGGUCUUGUCCAUCACAUCAUUCUCCUAAUGAUGUGAUCCCGUUCAUCAAAUGACAACACAUUUCUAUGGUCAGGAAACUUAACCAUCUUUGAUUAACGAGCUAGUCUAGUAGAGGCAUACUGGGGACACUUUGUUUUAUCUAUGUAUUCACACAUGUAUCAAGUUUCCGGUUAAUACAAUUCUAGCAUGAAUAAUAAACAUUUAUCAUGAUAUAAGGAAAUAUAAAUAACAACUUUAUUAUUGCCUCUAGGGCAUAUUUCCUUCACUUCUAUACGGCACAGAGAUAAAGAGAAUACAAUUCUGGAAAGUUGAGAAUACAAAUCUAUUUUAGUGGGCUCGGAUCCCCAUGCGACUGGAUGCGCAUGAUUUCAGUGGAUGUGGUCGCCGUGUACUCCUAUGCAAUUUCGGUCAACAAGCAUACAAGGCAAGUAAGGUACGUGAAUGAAUUAACCGCAAACGACUCGAGGACGCGGAUUUUGUUGGGGAACGUAGCAGAAAUUCAAAAUUUUCUACGCAUCACCAAGAUCAAUCUAUGGAGUAAUCUAGCAACGAGGGGAAGGGGAGUGCAUCUACAUACCAUUGUAGAUCGCGAUGCGGAAGCGUUGCAAGAACGCGGAUGAGGGAGUCGUACUCGUAGCGAUUCAGAUCGCGGUUGAUUCCGAUCUGAGCACCGAAGAACGGUGCCUCCGCGUUCAACACACGUGCAGCCCGGUGACGUCUCCCACGCCUUGAUCCAGCAAGGAGAGAGGGAGAGGUUGGGGAAGACUCCGUCCAGCAGCAGCACAACGGCAUGGUGGUGAUGGAGGAGCGUGGCAAUCCCGUAGGGCUUCGCCAAGCACCGCGGGAGAGGAGGAGGAGGGAGAGGGGUAUGGCUGCGCCGAAAGAGAGACGUUCUCGCGUGUCUGGCAGCCCCAAAUACUUCCAGUAUAUAUAGGGGAAGGGGAGGGGCUGCGCCCCCAUCUAGGGUUCCCUCCCCAGGGAUGGCGGCAGCCCCCAAACCCAUCUAGGGUGCGGCCAAGGGGAGGAGAGGGGGGCGCCACUAGGGUGGGCCUUAAGGCCAAGCUGGACCUAGGGUUUGCCCCCUCCCACUCUCCCUGCACCUUGGGCCUUGGUGGGGGGGCGCACCAGCCCACCUUGGGCUGGUCCCCUCCCACACUUGGCCCAUGCAGCCUUCUAAGGCUAGUGGCCCCACUUGGUGGACCCCCGGGACCCUCCCGGUGGUCCCGGUACAUUACCGAUAACACCCGAAACUUUUCCGGUGACCAAAACAGGACUUCCCAUAUAUAAAUCUUUACCUCCGGACCAUUCCGGAACUCCUCGUGACGUUCGGGAUCUCAUCCGGGACUCCGAACAACAUUCGGUAACCACGUACAUACCUUCCCUAUAACCCUAGCGUCAUCGAACCUUAAGCGUGUAGACCCUACAGGUUCGGGAACCAUGCAGACAUGACCGAGACGUUCUCCGGUCAAUAACCAAUAGCGGGAUCUGGAUACCCAUGUUGGCUCCCACAUGUUCCACGAUGAUCUCAUCGGAUGAACCACGAUGUCGGGGAUUCAAUCAAUCCCGUAUUCAAUUCCCUUUGUCUAUCGGUAUGUUACUUGCCCGAGAUUCGAUCGUCGGUAUCCCGAUACCUUGUUCAAUCUCGUUACCGGCAAGUCUCUUUACUCGUUCCGUAACUCACAUCAUCCCGUGAUCAACUCCUUGGUCACAUUGUGCACAUUAUGAUGAUGUCCUACCGAGUGGGCCCAGAGAUACCUCUCCGUUUACACGGAGUGACAAAUCCCAGUCUCGAUUCGUGCCAACCCAACAGACACUUUCGGAGAUACCUGUAGUGCACCUUUAUAGCCACCCAGUUACGUUGUGACGUUUGGUACACCCAAAGCAUUCCUACGGUAUCCGGGAGUUGCACAAUCUCAUGGUCUAAGGAAAUGAUACUUGACAUUAGAAAAGCUCUGAGCAAACGAACUACACGAUCUUGUGCUAGGCUUAGGAUUGGGUCUUGUCCAUCACAUCAUUCUCCUAAUGAAGUGAUCCCGUUAUCAACGACAUCCAAUGUCCAUGGUCAGGAAACCGUAACCAUCUAUUGAUCAACGAGCUAGUCAACUAGAGGCUUACUAGGGACAUGGUGUUGUCUAUGUAUCCACACAUGUAUCUGAGUUUCCUAUCAAUACAGUUCUAGCAUGGAUAAUAAACGAUUAUCACGAACAAGGAAAUAUAAUAAUAACCAAUUUAUUAUUGCCUCUAGGGCAUAUUUCCAACAGUCUCCCACUUGCACUAGAGUCAAUAAUCUAGUCCACAUCACCAUGUGAUUAACACUCAUAGGUCACAUCACCAUGUGACCAACAUCCAAAGAGUUUACUAGAGUCAACAAUCUAGUUCACAUCACUAUGUGAUUAACACUCAAUGAGUUCUGGUUUGAUCAUGUUAUGCUUGUGAGAGAGGUUAUUAGUCAACGGGUCUGAACCUUUCAGAUCCGUGUGUGCUUUACGAAUUUCUAUGUCAUCUUGUGGAUGCUACCACGCGCUAUUUGGAGCCAUUUCAAAUAACUGCUCUACUAUACGAAUCCGGUUUACUACUGAGAGUCAUCCGGAUUAGUGUCAAAGUUCGCAUCGACGUAACCCUUUACGACGAACUCCUUUUCACCUCCAUAAUCGAGAAAAUUCCUUAGUCCACUAGAUACUAAGGAUAAGUUCGACCGCUGUCAUGUGAUCCAUUCCCGGAUCACUAUUGUACCCCUUGACCAACUCAUGGCAAGGCACACUUCAUGUGCGGUACACAACAUAGCAUACUAUAGAGCCUACGUCUAAAGCAUAGGGGACGACCUUCGUCCUUUCUCUCUCUUCUGCUGUGGUCAGGUCUUGAGUCUUACUCAAUACUCACACCUUGUAACACAGCCAAGAACUCCUUCUCUGCUGAUCUAUUUUGAACUCUUUCAAAAUCAUGUCAAGAUGUGCGUUCUUUGAAAGUAUCAUCAGGCGUCUUGAUCUAUCUCUAUAGAUCUCGAUGCCCAAUAUGUAAGCAGCUUUAUCCAGGUCUUCCUUUGAAAAACUCCUUUCAAACAACCCUUUAUGCUUUCCAGAAAUUUUUACAUCAUUUCGGAUCAACAAUAUGUCAUUCACAUAUACUUAUCAGAAAUGUUGUAGCGCUCCCACUCACUUUAUUGGAAAUACAAUUUUCUCAUAAACUUUGUAUAAACCCAAAAUCUUUGAUCAUCUCAUCAAAGCGUACAUUCCAACUCCGAGAUGCUUACUCCAGUCCUUAGAAGGAUCGCUGGAGCUAGCAUACCUUUUAGCAUCCUUAGGAUCGACAAAACCUUUCUGAUUGUAUCACAUACAACCUUGUUUUGACAUCCAUCUGCCAGAUUUCAUAAAUGCAGCUAAUGCUAACAUGAUUCCGGCGGACUUAAGCAUCGCUACGGAUGAGAAAAUCUCAUCGUAGUCAACUCCUUGAACUUGUGAAAAUACUCUUUUCCACAAGUCGAGCCUCAUAGACGGUAACAUUACCGUCCAUGUCCGUCUUCUUCUUAAAGAUCCAUUUAUCUCGGAUUUCAUGGCUUCUAACCAUUUGUCGGAAUAUGGGCCCACCAUCGCUUCUCCAUAGCUCGUAGGUUCAGUAUUGUCCAACAACAUGAUAUCUCAGACAGGAUCACGUACCACUCUAAAGUAGCACGCAUCCUCGUCGUCCUACGAGGUUUGGUAGUGACUUGAUCCGAAGUUCCAUGAUCACUAUCAUAAGCUUCCACUCCAAUUGGUGUAGGUGCCACAAGAACAACUUCCUGUGCCCUGCUACACACUAGUUGAAGUGACGGUUCAAUAACCUUAUCAAGUCCCCACCAUCCUCCCACUCAAUUCUUUCGAGAGAAACUUUUCCUCGAGAAAGGACCCGUUCCUAGAAGCAAUUACUUUUGCUUCCAGAUCUGAAAUAGGAGGUAUACCCAACUGUUUUGGGUAUUCUAUGAAGACGCAUUUAUCCGCUUUGGGUUCGAGCUUAUCAGCCUGAAACUUUUUCACAUAAGCAUCGCAGCCCCAAACUUUUAAGAAACGACAACUUAGGUUUCUCUAAACGGUGUCGUCUCAACGGAAUUGCGUGGUGCCCCUUUUAAAGUGAAUGCGGUUGUCUCUAAUGCCUAACCCAUAAACGAUAGUGGUAAUUCGAUAAGAAACAUCAUGGUAUGCACCAUAUCCAAUAGGGUGCAGCUAUGAUGUCCGGACACACCGUCACACUAUGGUGUUCCAGGCGGUAUUAAUUGUGAAACACUUUCCACAAUGUCUCAAUUGUGUGCCAAACUCGUAACUCAGAUACUCAUCUCUAUGAUCAUAUCACAGACAUUUUAUCCUCUUGUUCACGACGAUCUUCAACUUCACUCUGAAAUUACUUGAACCUUUCAAUAAUUCAGACUUGUGUUUCAUCAAGUAAAUACACUCAGCAUCUACUCAAAUCAUCUGUGAAGUAAGAACAUAACGAUAUCCACUGCAUGCCUCAGCACUCAUUGGACUGCAUACAUCAAAGUGUAUUACUUCCAAUAAGUUGCUCUCUUGUUCCAUCUUACUGAAAACGAGGCCUUUCAGUCAUCUUGCCCAUGUGGUAUGAUUUGCAUGUCUCAAGUGAUUCAAAAUCAAGUGAGUCCAAACGAUCCAUCUGCAUGGAGUUUCUUCAUGCAUAUAUACCAAUAGACAUGGUUCGCAUGUCUCAAUCUUUUCAAAAACGAGUGAGUCCAAAGAUCCAUCUACAUGGAGCUUCUUCAUGCGUUCUAUACCAAUAUGACUCAAAUGGCAGUGCCACAAGUAUGUGGUACUAUCAUUACUAUUUUAUAUCUUUUGGCACGAACAUGUGUAUCACUGCGAUCGAGAUUCAUUUUAGGUGCAAGACCAUUGAAGGUAUUAUUCAAAUAAACAGAGUAACCAUUAUUCUCCUUAAAUGAAUAACCGUAUUGCGAUAAACAUAAUCCAAUCAUGCUCAACGCAAACACCAAAUCUCGAUAGUAGAGGGAGCAUGCGAUGCUUGAUCACAUCAACCUUGGAAACACUUCCAACAUACAUCGUCAUCUCACCUUUAGCUAGUCUCCAUUUAUUCCGCAGCUUUUAUUUCGAGUUACUAACACUUGGCAACCGAACCGGUAUCUAAUACCCUGGUGCUGCUAGGAGUACUAGUAAAGUACACAUUCAUACAAUGUAUAUCCAAUAUACUUCUGUCGACCUUGCCUGCCUUCUCAUCUACCAAGUAUCUAGGGUAGUUCCGCUUUAGUGACCGUUCCCUCAUUACAGAAGCACUUAGUCUCGGGUUUGGGUUCAACCUUGGGAUUCUUCACUAGAGCAGCAAAUGAUUUGCUGUUUCAUGAAGUAUCCCUUUUGCCCUUGCCCUUCUAGAAACUAGUGGUUUUACUAACCAUCAACAAUUGAUGCUCCUUCUUGAUUUCUACUUUCGCGGUGUCAAACAUCGCGAGUUGCUCAAGGAUCAUCAUAUCUAUCCCUGAUAUGUUAUAGUUCAUCACGAAGCUCUACUAGCUUGGUGGCAGUGACUAUGGAGAACCAUCACUAUCUCAUCUGGGAGAUUAACUCCCACUCGAUUCAAGUGAUUGUAGUACUCAGACAAUCUGAGCACAUGCUCAACGAUUGAGCUUUUCUCCCUUAGUUUGCAGGCUUAAGAAACUUGUCAGAGGUCUCAUACCUCUUGACGUGGGCACUAGUCUGAAAUCCCAAUUUCAGUCUUCGGAACAUCUCAUAUGUUCUGCGUCGUUUCAAAAACGUCUCUUGUGCCACAAUUCUAAACCGUUAGCAUUACGCACUGAACUAUCACGUAGUCAUCAAAACGUGUAUGUCAGAUGUUUCGCAACAUCUACAGACGACGCUGAGGUUCAGCACACCGAGCGGUGCAUUAAGGACAUAAGACUUCUGUGCAGCAAUGAGGACAAUCCUCAGUUUACGGACCCAGUCCGCAUAAUUGCUACUACCAACUUUCAACUAAAUUUUCUCUAGGAACAUAUCUUAAACAGUAGAACUAAAGCGUAUGACAUAAUUUGCAAAGACCUUUUGACUAUGUUCAUGAUAAUGAAGUUCAUCUGAUUAUUGAAUGAACUCCCACUCAGAUAGACAUCCCUCUAGUCAUCUAAGUGAUACAUGAUCCGAGUCAAACUAGGCCGUGUCCGAUCAUCACGUGAGACGGACUAGUCAUCAUCGGUGAACAUCUCCAUGUUGAUCGUAUCUGCUAUACGACUCAUGUUCGACCUUUCGGUCUCUUGUGUUCCGAGGCCAUGUCUGUACAUGCUAGGCUCGUCAAGUCAACCUAAGUGUUUCGCAUGUGUUCCGAGGCCAUGUCUGUACAUGCUAGGCUCGUCAACACCCGUUGUAUUCGAACGUUAGAAUCUAUCACACCCGAUCAUCACGUGGUGCUUCGAAACAACGAACCUUCGCAACGGUGCACAGUUAGGGGGAACACGUCUCUUGAAAUUAUUAUAAGGGAUCAUCUUACUUACUACCGUCAUUCUAAGCAAAUAAGAUGCAUAACAUGAUAAACAUCACAUGCAAUCAAAUAGUGACAUGAUAUGGCCAAUAUCAUUUUGCUCCUUUGAUCUCCAUCUUCGGGGCACCAUGAUCAUCUUUGUCACCGGCAUGACACCAUGAUCUCCAUCAUCAUGAUCUCCAUCAUUGUGUCUUCAUGAAGUUGUCACGCCAACGAUUACUUCUACUUGUAUGGCUAACGCGCUUAGCAAUAAAGUAAAGUAAUUUACAUGGCGUUAUUCAAUGACACGCAGGUCAUACAAAAAAUAAAGACAACUCCUAUGGCUCCUGCCGGUUGUCAUACUCAUCGACAUGCAAGUCGUGAUUCCUAUUACAAGAAUAUGAUCAAUCUCAUACAUCACAUAUAUCAUUCAUCACAUCUUCUGGCCUAUCACAUCACAUAGCACAUGUUGCAAAAACAAGUUAGACGUCCUCUAAUUGUUGUUGCAAGUUUUUACGUGGCUUGUAUAGGUUUCUAGCAAGAACGUUUCUUACCUAUGUAAAACCACAACGUGAUAUGCCAAUUUCUAUUUACCCUUCAUAAGGACCCUUUUCAUCGAAUCCGUUCCGACUAAAGUGGGAGAGACAGACACCCGCUAGCCACCUUAUGCAACUAGUGCAUGUCAGUCGGUGGAACCUGUCUCACGUAAGCGUACGUGUAAGGUCGGUCCGGGCCGCUUCAUCCCACAAUGCCGCCGAAACAAGAUAAGACUAGUAGCGGCAAGAAGAAUUGGCAACAUCUACGCCCACAACUGCUUUGUGUUCUACUCGUGCAUAGAAACUACGCAUAGACCUAGCUCAUGAUGCCACUGUUGGGGAACGUAGCAGAAAUUCAAAAUUUUCUACGCAUCACCAAGAUCAAUCUAUGGAGUAAUCUAGCAACGAGGGGAAGGGGAGUGCAUCUACAUACCAUUGUAGAUCGCGAUGCGGAAGCGUUGCAAGAAUGCGGAUGAGGGAGUCGUACUCGUAGCGAUUCAGAUCGCGGUUGAUUCCGAUCUGAGCACCGAAGAACGGUGCCUCCGCGUUCAACACACGUGCAACCCGGUGACGUCUCCCACGCCUUGAUCCAGCAAGGAGAGAGGGAGAGGUUGGGGAAGACUCCGUCCAGCAGCAGCACAACGGCAUGGUGGUGAUGGAGGAGCGUGGCAAUCCCGCAGGGCUUCGCCAAGCACCGCGGGAGAGGAGGAGGAGGGAGAGGGGUAUGGCUGCGCCGAAAGAGAGACGUUCUCGCGUGUCUGGUAGCCCCAAAUACCUCCAGUAUAUAUAGGGGAAGGGGAGGGGCUGCACCCCCAUCUAGGGUUCCCUCCCCAGGGGUGGCGGCAGCCCCCAAACCCAUCUAGGGUGCGGCCAAGGGGAGGAGAGGGGGGGCGCCACUAGGGUGGGCCUUAAGGCCCAUCUGGACCUAGGGUUUGCCCCCUCCCACUCUCCCUGCGCCUUGGGCCUUGGUGGGGGGCGCACCAGCCCACUUGGGGCUGGUCCCCUCCCACACUUGGCCCAUGCAGCCUUCUGGGGCUGGUGGCCCCACUUGGUGGACCCCCGGGACCCUCCCGGUGGUCCCGGUACAUUACCGAUAACACCCGAAACUUUUCCGGUGACCAAAACAGGACUUCCCAUAUAUAAAUCUUUACCUCCGGACCAUUCCGGAACUCCUCGUGAUGUCCGGGAUCUCAUCCGGGACUCCAAACAACAUUCGGUAACCACGUACAUACCUUCCCUAUAACCCUAGCGUCAUCGAACCUUAAGCGUGUAGACCCUACGGGUUCGGGAACCAUGCAGACAUGACCGAGACGUUCUCUGGUCAAUAACCAACAGCGGGAUCUGGAUACCCAUGUUGGCUCCCACAUGUUCCACGAUGAUCUCAUCGGAUGAACCACGAUGUCGGGGAUUCAAUCAAUCCCGUAUUCAAUUCCCUUUGUCUAUCGGUAUGUUACUUGCCCGAGAUUCGAUCGCCGGUAUCCCGAUACCUUGUUCAAUCUCGUUACCGGCAAGUCUCUUUACUCGUUUCGUAACUCACAUCAUCCCGUGAUCAAAUCCUUGGUCACAUUGUGCACAUUAUGAUGAUGUCCUACCGAGUGGGCCUAGAGAUACCUCUCCGUUUACACGGAGUGACAAAUCCCAGUCUCAAUUCGUGCCAACCCAACAGACACUUUCGGAGAUACCUGUAGUGCACCUUUAUAGCCACCCAGUUACGUUGUGACGUUUGGUACACCCAAAGCAUUCCUACGGUAUCCGGGAGUUGCACAAUCUCAUGGUCUAAGGAAAUGAUACUUGACAUUAGAAAAGCUCUGAGCAAACGAACUACACGAUCUUGUGCUAGGCUUAGGAUUGGGUCUUGUCCAUCACAUCAUUCUCCUAAUGAAGUGAUCCCGUUAUCAACGACAUCCAAUGUCCAUGGUCAGGAAACCGUAACCAUCUAUUGAUCAACGAGCUAGUCAACUAGAGGCUUACUAGGGACAUGGUGUUGUCUAUGUAUCCACACAUGUAUCUGAGUUUCCUAUCAAUACAGUUCUAGCAUGGAUAAUAAACGAUUAUCACGAACAAGGAAAUAUAAUAAUAACCAAUUUAUUAUUGCCUCUAGGGCAUAUUUCCAACAGAUUUAUCUCUACUAAGUUCACACUCUUUAAGGAGUGCUAAUUGUCAUUGAAGGGAUGUUGAAGUCAAAGCUCCACAACCACCAAGUGGCUCACUGUAUUCUCCGUACGAUUCACCCCCAACGAAUGAGGCUCAAAUCACUCAUUGUUGGUCUUGAAGACGACCACCACACCUUUAUAAACUUAUCGAAGCACACCACACACAAGGAAGCUUACGAGCCUUGACUCCUAACUGACCAGGAACCCAAACUCCAAGAGUAAUAGGUGUUGAUGAAGAAAAUGAAUAGGGAAUACAAAUUGGUUUGGUCAAAGUGUAGAGCAAGUCUUGCUCUCUCAAAUCCCAAAGUAUCAACAAAUUUCGGUGAAGGGAUCGAGAGUAUUAAGCAAAUCAAGGUGUAGCAAUGGUGGAAGGCUCACAAGACAUUAGGCUUGGGGUUGGAGGUAGGAUAAGGGUUUUUAUACCCCUCCUCAAGAUGUAGCCGUUGGCUGCCUGAGGACCCCGUGUGCAUGAGGUAUCCAGUGGCAAAACCACUCUACCACAUGUGCGCGUGGUGUUGAGAGAGGUCCAGCCCCAACCUGUGUACACGGGGAGGAGGCCCAUGUGCAUGGGGUGUCCAAAGAGUUAACACUGUCCCCGUGUGCACGAGCCUUGUACCCCAUGUGCACAGGGUAUGUAGUCAAUGGGCACAUACCAAGGGAGAGUAUGGCAUAUUUAUGGUGGAUGAACUUGGGAGGGUUGGUGUAUAUGUUUGCAUGUUUCCACCCUUUUCAUCAGAGCAUCUCGACCCUUUUAAUAACGCGGUGAUCAUAUGCCUCAAAUAAACCAAAACAAAACUUCGAGUUAUCGAAGAACCACACAUUUUUCCUGUUUUGAAGCGACCAAUGACCCAGGAUAAACCUAGUGAUCAUCAUUAGUCCCACCGGCCAUAUUGUCAUCGCACCAAAAGAUCAUUUAGGGACAAACGCAUUUUCACAGGUCCUUCGUUGGCGUCAGGUUGAACGUCAUCGGGGUAGGGGAAGGCAGAAGAGACUUAUUUCAACUAGAAGAUAACUCAUUCAUUGUUACAAAAAUCUCUAGAAGCAAAAAUUCAUAUUGAGGAGUAUGUCGAAAACUCAAUCCCCGCGUCACCCUCCCCCUAGAGCGACUCGGGUGGAGCCCAGAAACCUAGCCGCCGCCGCCGCGAACUCCCUCCUCCUCUCCCUCCGCCACCGCCGGAGGACGUCGCCGGGCUAAGCCCGGGGGCUGAUGGCGGUGGCGGGGAAUCUCCUCUCUCACGCGUCUCCGGGGUGGGGGCGGACCCCAAGGCGGGUGGUAGCGCUGCCGAUCUGGGUUCUACGGCGCGACGGAUAGCUGCGACAGGCGGCGGGAGGCCGGCCCGUCCUCGAACGACGACGGCUUGGCGCUGCGGGCAGCCCAGUCACGGGCGCAGCGGCUGGCCCUUCAGGCGGCGGCAGCCUGCUUGGCUACGGUGGCGUGCAUGCUACAUUCAGAUCGGCGACGGCGGCAUGGAGGGCCUGGUGGUCUCAUCGGCGGCACCUCCGAUCAGAUCUAUUCUGACCGGUGCAGUCGAUGGUGGUGGUCAUCACUUCCGUCAAAGGUGGUCGGCCUGAGACUGGGUGUUCGGAUCCCGGGUUCCGUCAUCUAGUACUGCCUACAAGUUGGGGAGACGUAGUUGCCGGUGAAAACCGAGCCGACGACGGGUGAUGGCGGUGUUCCGCGUCGUUACCUUGAUGAAGGCAUCGUCAUGUGACUACUGUCGACCCACUCGUACUGCUCAGAGGAAAACCCUAGGAUCUGGUCUUCCAGAUCGAACGAUGGUGGCAUUGCGGCGUCGUUUCUCUCUUGUGAGCAUCGUUUGUGGAGCAGCGCUGGAAGAUAGAGGCAGGAGGUGGAGCGGCUUCGUCUUGCACGGAGCUUCGGUGAAAAUGUCAAGUCAUGCGUGGCCGACAGGUGCUACGCUUUGUCAUGCCUGUUCGGCAGGUGCUAUGCACGACAGAUCUUCCAAAGACUUCAAGCUGUGUCGGCUGGUGGUACUUGGCGGCAUGGUGCUGAGGUGUACCGGCGGCGACCGCGACGUGCUCAGGAGUUCGCACGCAGGGAGGUGGUGUCGUUUGGCGCCGUGGUGGCGUCGACGAUAGCUAGACCGGGCAAGGUUGAUGCGUCAGUACAACUCUGAAGAUGGAGUGGUGGCAGUUGGCGGCGGCGGUCUCUGAGAGUGCGCCGGACCAGUUGUGCCUAUACCCGGCAAGUGGCUUGAUUGGGGCCUCAGGUCUUAGAUGAUAGGUUUGGUUGCGAGGUCUGUUGGGUAUUAGGCCCUGACUAUCAGCAUCCCUGCAUCAACUGGAUAGGAGUAGCGACAGUUUACGAUUCAACCAGUGUUACAUCACUUAAUAAGAGAGGGAUGAGCUCGCUAGGAGACUCAACAAAAAACUAUUACAAGACAGACCCUUAACCAAAUUUGCUAAUACAUGAGGAACAUAAUUAACCUCUCUAGGGCAGUGCACAAAUUAGGUAUAAGGGAAGCUGCACGCUAUAUGAUAGCAAUCAUCCAAGAUUGCAGCCACUGGACCUGUAGAUCGUCCUCCUUCAUCCAUCGUACUGAUAAACUCAAGAUUAUCUGAAUUGACAAUAACCUUGUUGCAACCAAUUGUUUGUGCUAGGCAAAGACCAUAUCUCAACACAGUAGCCUUUACUAGAUAGCACAUCAUAAUAGAAGUUAAUUUUCCACUUCCCUACAUUUAUGAAUUUGCCCCUACCAUCUCGAAUUAUUGUACCAGUUAUCCCCUUAAGAAGGUCCGGAUCACAUAAAGCGUCCACAUUGAGCUUCACAUGUCGAUUAGGAGGUAGCAUCCAUCCUCCUGAUUUCCUCUUGGCUUUUGGUUGCGCUGAGAAAGUGUAGUUUGAUGCCAAGACUCGGACCGAAGCUGCAAUUUGUUGGGCAUUUUGAAUUUUCUCAUCAUGGCGGAGCUUCCUUCUCUCCCACUAUGGAUACCAACAAGUGAUAGCUAUUAUUUCAUGCACUUUCCUUUGCCCUAACACAAAUGUCUCCUAUCUUUGAAACUCCAAGAGAUAUCCCAGCACACAUUCUCCCGCUCUAUCAAUUAGACAUGCAUUACUAAUAAUGUUAUCCAGUCCAAGUUCCUUCCAAACUUGCAUCACUGUUGGACACUGAACAAUGCGUGUAAAGUAGUAUCAGCCCCUGUUCUGCAAGCAUGGCAUUGUGGUGAUACCUUAAAAUGCGUGUUUGAAAGAUUAACGCCACAAGGUAAAGUUCCAUGAAGAGUUUUCCAGACAAAUAUUUUUACCUUUGCCGAACAGUCCAAGCUCCAAAUUCUUUGCCACACACUUCCGACCUGCAUUGUUCCUUGUCCAUUUGGUCGACGUAGGUUGCCCCCAAAUUUGUGACCCCAGUCAACAUAAUAUGCUGAUUUCAUGGAAAACCUAAUUUUUUUGUCAUACCCCAUGCAACAAAGUCCUCCAUAUCAUAAUUGAGAAGUAGAAUUGCUGAGAUUCGGUGAACUUCCACCUGCCAGAAGGUUUUCCUCACUAGUUCCUCAUCCCACUGGUUAGUACUAGGAUCAAUCUUGUCCUUUGCUUUUGAUAUGAUAUGGUUGCCAUGUACAAUAACAACUUUUAUGUUACAUGAACCAGGAAUCCAUGGGUCAUCCCAUAUAUUGAUUUCUGCCCAUCACCCGCUCUCCAGAUGCACCCAUGUUUCAGAGUGUUCACCCCUGCCAUAAUACUUUGCCUAGUGAAGGAAGCUCCCUUUCCUAAUUUAUCAUUGAGCAAAUCUCCACCAGGAAAAUACUUUGCCUUCAGAACAGCAUCACACAAAGAAUCUGGAUUAUCUAUUAACCUCCAUGCUUAUUUUGCUAGAAGAGCCAAAUUAAAAUAGUGGAUGUCUCUAAACCCCAUACCUCCUUUGCACUUCGGCCACACAAUUUUCACCAUGCCAUCCAAUGCAUUCUAUUUUGGUUGUCAGCGUCCCCCCACCAAUAGUGCGACAUCGACCUCACGUCCACCAGCACAGGCGGUAGACAGGUCGCGGACUCCUCUGGGGAUGAGUAGGGCGUGUGAGGUGGCAGGGCCUUAUGUCCCAAGUGGGCCGGUCCGUCUCCCAUGUCCUACUCUUCCUCGCUGGAGACCGGACCUUCACUUCACGGGUCUUAAACCCCGUCUGCGCUCAUGGAGACGGUGAGGACGUGGUCGCCGAUGUGGAAUACAAAGGAAGUGGAUGACAGGCGUCGCCGUAGGAUAGGUUUAGGUUCGACCGCUCUCUUUUUAAUGAAAAAUGUCCUAAUCGCAAUGAAUGUGUUUCGGUUUAUAUGGAAAUUUGCCGGGUUUGCAUGAAUUAUGUCUGGUUUGUUUAAACCUUGUUUGAAAUGUAUGCGGGUAGCAUUGGAUGGCUGGCUCCCACAUCCAUGUCCAUGGACUGGUACCCCCUAUCCGCGGACAGAUGCGGGAGAAAAUUUGGAGAUCAGCGUUGAAGAUGCCCUUAGUGGGUUGUAACUACUCCCUUCGUCCGAAAUUAGAUGACGCUCAAACGGAUGUAUUUAGGUGCAUUUUAGUGCUUGAUACAUCCAUUUGCGCGUCAACUAAUUCCGAACGAAGGAAGUAUUUAAGAGGAAGUGUCCUCGUCGCCAUAAUCUCGCCGACCCCACCACAAAAUCAAAACUAAUAGCAUCUAGAGCAGGACUCCCCAAAUUAAUCGGGCGGACGUAAGGCCACCGACCGAACAUGAGAGAGAAAUAUUUUUGUUGACCUAACUGGACCCCUCAAAGCUCCUUAAAUGCCCGGGUUGUCUGGCCUUCUCAUAUUGGCCUCGUAUAUAAGAUGAGUAUGAAGAGUGUCCUGUCAGUGGUCCUGCAUCCUCCUCGUAUGAUUCGGCCCACCAUGGAGCAUCCUUUUUCCUUUCUUUAUUAUUUCUUUUCGUUCUCUCUUUCUUCACCAAUCAUAUGCAUGUGAGCGAACCUAUAAGGAAAAAAGUGAAAAACAUGAGUGCAUGGACGAACAAAUAGGAAGUCAAAACGAACACACCCGGAUACUAACCUGACGGUCCACGGACGUUUGAGGGGCCGCCUAGUCCGACGGCCGUAGAUGCCUCAAAAGAAAUAAGAACCUAGUAGUAAAACUGAAAAUGAAAGGAGUGAGGGGCUGUUUGGAUUGUGACUAUAUGGGGCUGUUUGGUUCUAGGCCUAGGAAUGCCACAUUUUGCCACACAUUUCUUGCCACACUUGCCUAAGGUUAGUUCUUCAAAAUAAAAGCCACAAGUUGGCAAGCCUAAGAGAAUCUUGCCACACUUUUUGAGUGUAUGCCAUGUGAGGCCCUAGUGUGGCUAAAAGUAUAUUGCCUAAGGUAAGGAUUGAACCAAACACCCUCCUAAGUUGAUCAAAGUUGCCUAACCUUAGGUGUGGCAACAUGUGGCAACCAUAGUCACAAACCAAACAGCCCCUAUAUUUGCCAUAUAUUGCCACAUGAUUUUUGCCACACUUGCCACACUUGCCUUACUUGAGUUGCUCAAAUUGUUAGCCACACUUUGGCUUGCCUAAGGGAAUCUUGCCACACUUUUUGUGUCUAUGACAUGUGGGGUUCACUGUUUAUAAAAAUAUUCUUGUCUUAGGUGUGGCUAGAACCAAACACCUACCUAACUUGGUCAAACUUACCUAAGAUGAGGUGUGGUAAAGUGUGGCACUUUUUGUGUCUAUGACAUGUGGGGUUCACUGCUUAUAAAAAUAUUCUUGUCUUAGGUGUGGCUAGAACCAAACAUCUAACUAAUUUGAUCAAACUUACCUAAGAUGAGGUGUGAUAAAGUGUGGUAAGGCGUGGCUGGGAACCAAACAGCCCCUCUCCUGGCUACCUAUGGGGUGGGUCUCCACCCUUCUGGCUGCCGACGAGGCUGCCGGACAAGAGAGAGGAGGGAAACCUUGGGUGACGGCUAGUGCUACUGCUAGGAAAAGGCGACAGUGGACACAAGUAGUAGAAGCGUCCGGUUCCCCCCAACACAUCAGUUGGUCCACCUGGCCCCCCUGGGUGACUAGAAACAGCGGAGCAAAGCUAGCAGACACGCACAAGAGACAGCCAUGUGGGGCCCGGGAUGCAGACUGUGCGUGCAUCCUUCAUCCUCCUCCACCACCACUCCUCCCCUCCUGUUUCCGCUCCGCUCCGCCCCCGGUAAACCCCAUCCCGUCCCGAUCCCCUCCCCUCCCCUCCCCGGAGGAAUCUUUGCUCCCUCCCACUUAUAUAAACCCCUCUCCGCCACUCCACUCUCCCAGAUCUACAUCCUCCCUCCACCCCGUCUCGCCGGCCGCCCGGCCGCCCCCCAAUCGUGCGUCGGACGAGGUGCGUACCCAGCGCGUCUUGUCUUCGAUACAACCGAAGCUCCUCCCACCCUCUUACUAUCCAUUUCUGUGAUCUAACCCACGUGAACAUCGCCGGUUGCUCCGGACCAGGCCACGGCGAUGGAUCUCCUCUCGGACGCCCAGCCCCAGUGGCUCCUCGCCGGCGCCGCGCUGCUGCUCGCCACCGUCGCCUUCCUCAGGGUCCUCCUCGGCUCCGGCGGCCGCGGCAAGCGGGCGCCGCCGACGAUCCCGGGGGCGCCCGUCGUGGGCGGGCUCCUGCGCUUCCUGCGGGGCCCCAUCCCGCUCAUCCGGGCCGAGUACGCCCGCCUCGGCCCCGUCUUCACCGUCCCCAUCCUCACCCGCCGGAUCACCUUCCUCAUCGGCCCCGACGUCUCGGCGCACUUCUUCAAGAGCAACGAGUCCGACAUGAGCCAGCAGGAGGUCUACCGCUUCAACGUCCCCACCUUCGGCCCCGGGGUCGUCUUCGACGUCGACUACCAGGUCAGGCAGGAGCAGUUCAGGUUCUUCACCGAGGCGCUCAGGGCCAACAAGCUCCGCAGCUACGUCGACCAGAUGGUUGCCGAGGCCGAGGUGAGCUUUAUUCUCUUCCUUCCUUCCCCUGUUUUGGAAUUCUCAGUGAUGCUGUUGUGGUUCAGUGGCGGAGCUAGCAUUUGACACCAGGGUGGUCCGUCUUUUUUUUUUUCAAAUCAAAUAUGGCAUGUGAGCAUUGGAACUAAGGUCAUCUCCGAGUGGACGGAUACGUGACCGCGUUGGAUGGCAAAACACGUUUGAACGGCGCGGUCUGGACGGAUAUGGGUGGUUUGAGGAUCCGCUUUGGAGAUGCUCUAAUUGAAAAUACCACAUAGAAAUAGAUCAAUAUGAUCGUGCAAAACACAUUAAAAUUCUCAUUCAAGUCUCAUUUUUCAUAAAAGUAGCCUACAUAGUACAUCAUAGUUCUUCAUAGUCGGAUAGCCUUUUUAAGUUAAAAAGACUGUCCGGUUCUAUUAACUUAGAAAGACUAUCACUCAUCCAAGGCCUACAUAGUCUUCUACCUAGAGAAGUUAAAAAGACUAUGUUCAUGUCAAAAAAGGAAGAAGACUAUGUUACCUCAAAAAAUAUCCAGCUCAAUGUAUGCGACUAGGCAAUCAUCCAAAAGACUAUCAAUCAUCUUCAAUUCUUCAUAGCAUGUCUGUGAAAAAGUUUUGAAAUAUAUCCAGUCCUCUUUAUUCUUCAAUAAAUUCAGCAAUAAAAAUUACUUCACAUCAAUCAUAUUGAUACAAUUGAACAGAAUGCUAAAAUUCUAAAUUAUGUGUGUGCUUGUUCAUGCUCAUGUACUAUAGGAGUACUGGACAGUGCACGACACAACAAAUAGCGAACCCUAAAUGGUUAAAUAAAAAAUUGGGUAAUUGUACCUCAAAUCAGGCCGAUCCGAGUGCCGGAGUGUGGAAUAGGCGGCUGCCACCGGCUUGCAGGGGAGCCAAGCGUCCGGGGCAGUGCAGGGUCGCGGCCGGGGGUGGUGGCGCUGCUGGUGCCGAGCGCUGGGCAGGCUGCGGGCGCGACGAAGAGGCAGGAGCGGAGGAGCCUCUUGGGAGGCUGGUUGGCCGGCGACCAGCCAGGGUAGCGAGCCGGCGAGGUAGGCGGAGGUGGUUACGGGGCGGCUGGGCGUCGGGGUCUCCAGUGCAUGGCUGCGUGUGCGUGGUGCGUAUAUUUUUUUAGGGGAAUUGGGGACGCUGGUUCAGAGUGUUACUGAGCUAUACUGGCCCAUCUCCAUAUCCAUAGAUAUAUAGGCCUGUACAAAAUUCCCGGCCCACCCUGGACAGCCUGUAGCUCCGCCCCUGUUGUGGUUGCUGGUAAUUCUCAAGUGAGAUGCUUCUUCUUGGGUUUGAACGAGUGUAUCAUAGUCAGAGGGGAACACCGGACCUCUUAUGGCACCUUGCAUCCUAUUCCUUACUAUGGAAUGCCCUAGCAAAGGAAGAUGUAGGAUGUUUGAUGUGCCUAAUUUGCCGAUGCUUAUGUUAAUCGAAGAUAAAAUAUCAGUGGGGAUUUAGAUGAUUCCAGUGGUCCGCUCGAUUGCUAGUAUUCGCUUGAAUGCAAAUAUGCAUUUCGCGUAUGUAUAAUUAGAACUUAGAAUAAUGUCUUGCAUGCAUAGGUUUGAUAUAUCUGGAUUUCUGGAUCAAAGGGAAUAUUUGGUACGUAAUUCACUUGUAGCGAACCGUGGUGAGUAAGAGAAGUUAAUGCUUUCGGCAGGUUCUCUAAUGCAAUAUUUGCACUGGAUUAUCAUAACUUAAGCUUGUUAUUUCAGUACCUAGUUGCUUGUUUUGCAAGCAUUUUUGUGUCUGAAAGGUGAUAACUUGAUGCUAUUUACUAGUAUGAUACUAGAAUCAUGCAGUGGAAAUCAUUUAUUUAUUUCUGUAAGUACUAGCAUUUAUCGUCGCAGUUUAUCAACGUGGCAUGCUAUGUUUGGUCCAAUUUUGGCAUCCUGCACAACAAACAAUCGUGUAGCUUGUCCCGCAAAGUUGUAUGUAAGUGUGCACUUUUGGUCAGAACCUUUUAUAAAGCUUCACUCAGACCUGCAUUUAAGGACUCCCUAUGAACUCGGUGCUGAAACAGAACAAGGUUAUGUAGAUGUAAGCAUUAACAUGAACAUCAUGGUUAACUAUUGUACUCCUAUACACAUAAUGCGGCGGGACAUCUGCAGAACCUCACCUCCCUUGCAACUAGUUUCAUAAUACUGAUUGUCACCCUUAUUUACAAUGACAAGGUUUGCUACAUUUUCUGUACAGCCUAUGCUGCUAUAUGACCAGUAUGAUAUUUUUUCUAUAGAAAUCAUUGUCAUGCUAAUAGUAAACAAAGAGUUUGCACAAAUAACAUGGAUCAUCUUGUCAAUCAGUUGCUCCACAUUUGAUUUAACAUUUGCUAUUCUUCCAUGCUAGCAUUUAGUUUGUUUGUCAAGAUAAGUCAUAUGUGCUAUUCAAUUAUUUUUGUUGUUGUAUAGGUUCGUUUGUUCUGGUCAUUUUUUUGGGUGAUUAAUAUCAUUUGCAAAUCCAACCCACCUGCAGGAGUACUUCUCAAAGUGGGGAGAAAGCGGCACUGUGGAUCUGAAGUAUGAACUGGAGCACCUCAUCAUACUGACUGCUAGCCGAUGCUUGUUGGGAAGGGAAGUGCGAGAAAAAUUGUUUGAUGAUGUUUCUGCUCUCUUCCAUGAUCUUGACAAUGGGAUGCAGCCAAUCAGUGUCAUCUUUCCCUACCUCCCAAUCCCUGCACACCGUCGCCGUGACCAGGCACGGACACGUUUGGCGGAGAUCUUUGCCACGAUCAUCAAGUCCCGCAAGGCCUCUGGACAGUCCGAGGAAGACAUGCUGCAGUGCUUCAUUGAUUCCAAGUACAAGAAUGGCCGCCAGACCACAGAAAGUGAGGUGACUGGGCUACUUAUUGCAGCCCUGUUUGCUGGACAGCACACUAGCUCGAUCACCUCAACCUGGACUGGGGCCUACCUGCUUAAGUUCCAGCAGUACUUUGCAGAGGCUGUUGAGGAGCAGAAGGAGGUCAUGAAGAGGCAUGGUGACAAGAUCGAUCACGACAUAUUGGCAGAGAUGGAUGUCCUCUACCGGUGCAUCAAGGAGGCGCUCCGGCUCCACCCGCCGCUGAUCAUGCUGCUUCGCCAAUCACACUCUGACUUCAGCGUGACCACGAGGGAAGGCAAAGAGUUUGAUAUCCCCAAGGGCCACAUCGUCGCAACAUCUCCUGCUUUCGCUAACAGGCUCCCCCAUAUCUUCAAGAACCCGGACUCGUAUGACCCUGACCGGUUUGCAGCUGGGAGGGAGGAGGACAAGGUUGCGGGUGCCUUCUCGUACAUCUCCUUUGGGGGUGGCAGGCACGGGUGCCUGGGUGAGCCCUUCGCGUACCUGCAGAUCAAGGCGAUAUGGACACACCUCCUGAGGAACUUUGAGUUUGAGCUGGUCUCACCGUUCCCAGAGAACGACUGGAAUGCGAUGGUCGUCGGCAUCAAGGGCGAGGUGAUGGUCAGCUACAAGCGGCGGAAGCUUGUCGUCGACAACUAGAGAGCGGGUGGUCCCAUAGGGGGUGUUUGCUUCUGUAUUUGUUCCAUUUAAGUUUUUUCUAUUCGCACGCCAACCUGUAGGGUAUCUAUCUUGCCAUUGUUUUAGGGUACUUUGAUUUGCUUCCAGUGAUUAUUUAGACGUGUAGCAUCUGAGUGUUGUUUCUCUCUCCUUUCAUCUUUGCUGCUGUCCAUUCUCUUAGACGGGUUCAGACAUAAAAUGUGAACAGACAACCCUAUGUAAGGAACACAACAACUGUGACUGAGUUCAUUCAAAAUGCAGUUCUUGCUGCAAUGGUUUCUUGUGAAGAGAAUUAUCUUCUGUGGGUUUAGUAAUCCAGGGGGGAAAUGCAUGCUGACAAUCAUCAGAAAAAUCUUGAACAUCGCUACGAAGUGAAACUCAU
rnacentral:lncRNA from 1 species